rnacentral:lncRNA from 1 species
GGAUUGAGUGGAAAGCAACUUGGGAAGACUAGAGAUCAAGCUUCAUAUGGUGGGAGUGGAGCUACUUGAUCUCAACACAAGGGUAGGUAGUUUUCUUCUCAGAAAUGUAAGGUAGGAGUGGUAGUACUUUCUGAUGGCUCUCUCCACGAAUGAAGAGGGGGUGGAGGGGUAUUUAUAGCCUCCACACAAAAUCCAACUGUUACACACAUUUGACCAAUCUCGGUCAGACCGAAGUUGACAACUCGGUGAGACCGAAAGUUCAAAUCAUGUGAACGUUGGGAUUUUCGGUGGGACCGAAAAUACAAACUCGGUGAGUCCGAUUCGUCCAAAGACAAGAGCUUGCCAAUCUCGGUGGGACCGACUUCAUCAUCUCGGUGACACCGAUUUGAUGACAGAAGGUUACAGAAGCUUGGCAACUCAAGUUUCGGUGAGACCGAGUUAAGAAUCGGAAAAUCCGAGAUUUCUAGGGUUUGGCUUUGUGGCUGAGGUGGUUCAUCUCGGUGUGACUGGGUUUGGAAAAUCGGUGGGACCGAGAUUACUUAUGAGUGUAUUAUGGAAGUGAGAGUUGCUGAUAGUUUAGGAGAUGUAUCACUAAGCACUUUGAGCAACCAGAUCAUUAUCAUAACCUCAUCCCCUUUUAAUAGUAUUGGCUUUCCUAUAGACUCAAUGUGAUCUUGGAUCACUAAACCAAAAUGGAGUCUUGAGCUUUUGCCAAUGCUUGCCUUAGCAUUUUGAGGGGUCCACCUCUUCAGUCCUUUUGCCAUGCCAAUGUGCUUGACUUUCCUGAAACAUACUUGAUAAAAGCAUUAGUCCAACCACAAAGUAUGUUGUCAUUAAUUACCAAAACCACCCAGGGAGCAAAUGUGCUUUCAAUCUCCCCCUUUUUGGUAAUUGAUGGCAACACACAAAACAAGACAUCAAAGCUUACUGAAAGAAAGACAGAAUUAUCACUAAAGCUUUGACAAACAUGUAGUACACAGGCUCCCCCUACAAGUGUGCAAGAUUUUUAUAGAUUUUGGUUUUGGACUACCACAAGCACACAAGAGAGAAAAACAAGAUGUGCUACAUGCAGCUUGGCUAUAUGCAUCAGAGCAGAUGAAAAGAAGUGAGUGAUCAUACAUAUGUGCAUGGUGAUUUCUUGCAAACAAGUAUUGACAAGCAAGUCACCAUCAUGCACAUUCUACAAGGUGCAUAUACUUACCUUGAGGUUCCUUGGCAUUGUACCUGAAGAAAUAAACUUGGGAAAACAAGAUUAGAUAACACAAGAGUAUUUCUUCAACCAACAGCAAGAACAUCAAGAGUACCAAGCCAGGGAUGACAUGUAUAAUGAGUGUCUCAUAAAGAGCACAAGCUUGAAUCAGCAAACAUGUCUCCUGAAACUAACAGAUUUUCAAUGAACUCUGAGAGAUUUUGCUUUCCAUAAGAUAUCAAUUGUGAAGAUUCCUCUCCCUUUGAGGAAAAAGCAAAAUCAAAAGAAUGAUGCCAAAUGUAAUAACCAAUGUGGAACACGGCAAAGCUUUGAUGUGAUUCUCUCCCCCUUGAGAUAAGAUUGCUCUUCUUCUCCCCCUAAAUCUUCUCUUCUCCCCUUAAGUCCCCCUAAAUCUUCUCCCCCUUUGACAUCAAGUGCCGAAAAGGACAGCAAACUAGGAAGGUCAGGAAAGAUUAAAGGAAAGAAAUGGGAUCCUUAAGAAUCACAACAGGGUAAUAAGAACACAGUUAAGCUGCAGAAGGUGAUAUCCUGAAAGAAAUAAAUCGGUGACACCGGAUUGAUAUGGAUCGGUGUGUCCGAAAGUCAGGGACUUAGGGCAGAUCCUUUUCGGUUAGACCGAAAUAACUAAAUCGGUGACGCCGAGUUUAAUUCCAAGGAAAUACAGAAUUAAUUCAGCUCACUUUGCAAGGAAUGUUUCAAAGGAUUUGCAAUGAAUUUGUAAAUGAUUUUCAAGGAAUUGAUCAGAGCCAAAAAGAAUAUUCACAAAGACAGAAGAACAGAAAAGAAAAAGAUUCCUAGAUGAAGUUUUUUUUAAGAAGAAAACUCAAUGAGAGAACAAAAUAGAAAAUAGAAAAACUCCAAAACAUAUGUACUUCAUCUAGAUAAGGGUCGGCGACAAAGUCACCUAUGUUUGAGUAUAUUGACUUAGGAGUCAAAUGAGAACAUUUGAUCAUAGGUCAUACUCAUCAUUUAAGCUCAAAAUGGGGUUGCCAUUUUUCGAUUAAGCAUUUGAUGUGAUCACAUCUUAUGAAGCUGCUUGUACUCAUGUCUUUGAGCAAAGCUUCUUAAUGAUGUGAAGAACAUACCUUGGGCUUGUUGUUGCUUUGUUCAUGUAGGUGAACUUAAUAUAGGUGCUCAUUGAGUGUGAAGUUGGAGCAUCAUUUCAACUUGUGUAGUUCAUCUUCCUACAUGGGUUAGGCAAGCAAGGAAAUACUCAAGGAUAUCCAAGAUGACAAGAGUGAAAUACUAGAUGUAUAAGGUGUCAAAAAGGAUAUGUGGAAUUUUGUUCCUUGAACUCAACAUCCCAAAGGGCUAGAUACUUGGUCAAUGACAAGAUUACUCAUGAUUUGAGUGUGUGGUAAUCUUGUGGAAUGUAGAUCAUCCAAGUACCUGCAAGGAGUUAGAUGCAAUACAAGGGGGCAAAUGUGUCCAAGACAUAUGAUCAUCGUCAUAAGAGAAAUAUCAAGGAUUAGUCAAGUAGGCUCAUGCCUUGCAUGCAUCAAUGGAGUUUUCACUCCAAGUUUGAAGCAUCAAUGAUGUUCAACUCACUCCUUAAGCGACAAAACACUUUCUCAUCAAGUGGUUUUGUAAAGAUAUCUGCAAGUAGUUUGUCAGUACGAACAUGCUUAAGAUUGAUGUCACCCUUGGCAAUGUGAUCACGAAUAAAAUGGUGACGAACUUCAAUAUGUUUCGUGCGAGAGUGUUGCACUGGAUUGUGUCCAAUCUUAAUCGCACUCUCAUUGCCACAAAGCAAAGGAACAUGUCUCACAUGUAUCCCAUAAUCCUUAAGCGUUUGUGUCAUCCAUAGCAACUGAGCACAACAUGAACCAGCAGCUAUAUAUUCUGCUUCGGCAGUGGAUAAUGAUACCGAAUUUUGUUUCUUGGAGGACCAAGAUACAAGGGAUCGACCAAGGAAUUGACAUGUACCCGAAGUUGACUUUCUAUCAACCCUGUCACCGGCAUAGUCCGAGUCGGAAUAGCCAACAAGAUCGAAAGAUGCCCUCUUAGGAUACCAAAUGCCAAAGUUAGGUGUGUGUAUCAAAUAUCUCACAAUUCUUUUAACAGCUUUAAGAUGACAUUCUUUAGGGGCUGCUUGAUAUCGAGCACACAUGCAUACACUCAACAUUAUGUCAGGACGAGAAGCACAGAGAUAUAGUAGAGAACCAAUCAUAGAUCGGUAAACCUUUUGAUCAACAGGUUCUCCAUCUUUUGUCAAGUCAUUAUGUCCACUAGUAGGCAUGGGGGUUCUCAUACCUUUGCUUUCUUGCAUGUUGAACUUCUUGAAGAGAUCCUUGGUGUACUUUGUUUGUGAGACAAAGGUACCCUCCUUAGAUUGCUUGAUUUGCAACCCAAGGAAGAAUUUGAGUUCACUCAUCAUGGACAUCUCAUACUUCUCCGACAUGAGCUUUCCAAACUUCUCGCUAAAAUGAGGGUUAGUUGAACCAAAGAUAAUAUCAUCAACAUAUAUUUGGCACACAAAUAGUUCACCAUCAACCCUUUUCGUGAAUAGCGUUGAGUCUAUUUUUCCAAUCUCAAAUCCUUUUUCAAGAAGAAAGCUAGUUAAGCAUUUGUACCAAGCUCUAGGAGCUUGUUUAAGGCCAUAAAGAGCUUUAUGAAGUUUGUAAACAUGAUUAGGCUUUUUAGGAUUCACAAAUCCAGGAGGUUGUUUCACAAAUACUUCCUCCUCAAUUUCACCAUUUAGGAAAGCACUUUUAAUAUCCAUUUGAUAGAGAGUAAUGUCAUGGUGGUUGGCAUAAGCAAGAAGAAUGCGAAUGGACUCAAGUCUAGCAACGGGGGCAUAGGUCUCACCAUAGUCCAUACCUUCGACUUGUGUGUAACCUUGAGCUACGAGACGAGCCUUGUUGCGGAUGACUUGUCCAUCUUCAUCUUGCUUGUUCCGAAACACCCAUUUGGUUCCAAUGACGUUUUGAUCAUCCUUGGGCUUCUCUACCAAAGUCCAUACAUUGUUCCUCUCGAAGUUGUGUAGCUCUUCGUGCAUCGAGUUCACCCAAUCCGGGUCUUCAAGUGCUUCUUCUACCUUCAUAGGUUCAAGACUAGAGAUAAAUGAGUAAUGCUCACAAAAGUUAGCUAAGCGAGUUUUAGAGCAAGUAAUUCUCCCGGAGUCGAUGUCGUUCAUCAUUUGUUCCACGGGAUGAUUUUUCUUGACUCUUGCUCGGACUCGGGAUAGCUUUUGUUGUGGUUGAGGCUGAGCUUCCUCAUCAUCCUCAUCUUCCUCUUCUUCUUCUUCAUUGUUGUUGGUGUUGUCUUGAGGUGGUGGAGAAGGAGGUUGUGGUGGAUCUUCUUGUUGCACUUCCUCAUCUUGGUGAGUUCCACUUGUGGAGGCCUCCAUGUUGCCUUGAGGUUCAUCUUGCCGUGAGGUAGGGGGCUCCACAUAUGUAGAUGAGGUACUCUCCUUCACUUCCAUGGGAUGGAUCUUUCCAAUAGAUAAAUCUUGAAUGGCUUCCGAUGGGUCCUUGUCUCCUACAUCAAUAGGCAUUUGCUCUACUUGCGAGCCAUUAGAUUCAUCAAACUUCACGUCUACCGUCUCUUCAACCUUUCGGGUGAAAUUGUUGUAGACACGGUAGGUGUGAGAGUUUGAUCCAUAACCGAGGAAAAAGCCUUCAUGAGUUUUAGGAGCAAAUUUGGACCGACGAUGCUUAUCAAGGAUAUAGCAUUUUGAACCAAAGACACGAAAGUAUCCCACUUGGGGUUUGUUACCGGUGAGGAGUUCGUAUGAAGUCUUGCCGAGGAGCUUAUGAAGAUAAAGCCUGUUGAUAGCAUGACAAGCUGUCUCAACCGCUUCACCCCAAAAAUGCUUCGGUGUCUUGUAUUCAUCAAGCAUCGUUCUCGCCAUCUCUAUGAGCGUUCGGUUCUUCCUCUCAACAACUCCAUUUUGUUGAGGAGUGUACGUAGCCGAGAACUCAUGUAGAAUCCCUUCCUCAUCGAGAAAACAAUCUACAUGGGCGUUCUUGAACUCCGUUCCAUUGUCACUCCGAACUUUCUUGAUCUUCACCUCAAAUUGAUUUUGGGCCUUUCUAGCAAAGGUUUUGAAGAUCCUCUGAACCUGUGAUUUGUCAUCAAGGAAAAAUACCCACGUAAAUCUGGAAUAAUCAUCAACUAUAACUAGACCAAAAGAGUUACCACCAAGGCUUUUGUAAGCAUUGGGACCGAAGAGAUCCAUAUGAAGAAGCUCAAGCGGUCUCCUUGUGGUCAUGAUGUUCUUCACGGGAUGACUUCCACCUACUUGUUUUCCUGCCUGACAAGCACUACAAAGUCUAUCUUUGUCAAAGAGAACAUCUUUAACACCAAGAAUAUGAUCACCUUUGAUUAGCUUGUCUAGAUUACGCAUACCAACAUGUCCAAGCCUUCUAUGCCAUAACCAACCUUUAGCGGAUUUAGCAAUGAAGCAAGUUCUAGGUUGGGCUUUCUUAGUGAAAUCAACAAUAUAUAGAUCACCUCUACGGAUACCGGUAAAAACCAUGUUAUGAUUGUCACGACGAAAGACUUGGCAAUCUACUUCGGUGAAUAGCACAUUGAAUCCAAAGUCAGCUAAUCUAGACACGGAAAGUAAAUUGUAUCCAAGUGAUUCAACAAGCAUGACAUUUUGAAUAGAGCUAUCAUGAGAUAUGGCCACCUUACCAAGGCCAAGUACCUUACCCUUGGAGUUGUCUCCAAAAGUCACAUACUUGCGUGGACCAUCGUUCUUUGCAAGCUCUCGAAACAUGUCUUCGUCUCCGGUCAUGUGAUCGGUGCAUCCACUAUCAAGAAUCCACUCUUUUCCACCGGAUAUGUAGUCUCUCAGAUUCGCCAUGAGAUUGAGACUCUUCAUGAUCUUGUCUAGCUCGGUGUCCGAAUCGGAGUAAUCAUCAUCAUGCUCAUGCUCAUCAUCAUAUUGACCCAUAGAUAGUUCAUCAUCAACACCUAGGUCAAUUUGACAAUGACUUGCAUUAGUUUUGUCAAUGUGACAAUAAUCAUCGGAAUGCAAUACAAGAGCAUUUCUAAUUAGAGCAUUGAUAAGAUAAGGAUCACCCUUCUUUUUCAUGAGAUCACGAAGCUCAAAGAAGCAUUUAUCAAAGUUGGGAUCAUUGGGGUGCAUCAUAUCAAAUUCAAUAGUCUUGUAUAGAAUUUCAUCAAGACCUCUCAAAGAGCAGUCCAGAUAAAGUUCUUCCAAGAACUUCCACAUAGCAUAGGCGCACUCAAAGUUUGUGACAAGCUUAAGCAAAUUAUCGGGCAAACCUCUAAUGAUAAGAUUUACAGUUCUAAGGUUACGAAGCAAAUCAAGCUCUUCAUCCAUGGUAGGGUGCAAGGGGUCAAAUGGAGGCACAUAUGGGGUUUCAACAUAUUUGCGCAAGUUAUACAUCUUAAAGAUAAUAAGCAUUUCAAUCCUCCACGAGUUAUAGGACACUCCAUUAAGAAUAGGCACUCUAUGGCUAACACUCCCAAACGUAGACACGUCCAUCUUCCUCCAAUGGUGUGUAAACCAAAGCAAUGGAAACCAAUGCUCUGAUACCAAUUGUAGGAUCGAAGAAGGUGAGAGUGUCUAGAGAGGGGUGAUUAGACUACUCGACAAGAUAAAAAUUAUGCCUUUUGACAAAGACAAGUUUUGGCAGAUUUUGCAUAUCACACAAGUCAAGUAGCAUACUACACAUGCAAUUCUAGAGUAUGGGCAGCAGAAAGUAAAUUGCACAAGUAAUAAAGAGAAGUGGAGAAGAUCAAACGCAAUUUGGAGACACGGAGAUUUUUCUCGUGGUUCCGAUAGGUGGUGCUAUCGUCAAUCCACGUUGAUGGAGACUUCAACCCACGGAGGGUAACGGCUGCGAGAGUCCACGGAGGGCUCCACCCACGAAGGGUCCAUGAAGAAGCAACCUUGUCUAUGCCAUCAUGGCCUACGCCCACGGAGGGCUAGCCUUACUCGGGGUAGAUCUUCACGAAGUAGGCGAUCUCCUUGCCCUUACAAACUUCUUGGUUCAACUCCACAUCUCGACGGAGGCUCCCAAGCGACACCUAACCAAUCUAGGAGGCACCACCCUCCAAAAGGUAAUAGAUGGUGUUGAUGAUGAUGAACUCCUUGCUCUUGUGCUUCAAAUGAUAAUCUCCCCAACACUCAACUCUCCUCACUGAUUUGGCUGUGGUGGAAGAAAGGAUUGAGUGGAAAGCAACUUGGGAAGACUAUAGAUCAAGCUUCAUAUGGUGGGAGUGGAGCUACUUGAUCUCAACACAAGGGUAGGUAGUUUUCUUCUCAGAAAUGUAAGGUAGGAGUGGUAGUACUUUCUGAUGGCUCUCUCCACGAAUGAAGAGGGGGUGGAGGGGUAUUUAUAGCCUCCACACAAAAUCCAACCGUUACACACAUUUGACCAAUCUCGGUCAGACCGAAGUUGACAACUCGGUGAGACCGAAAGUUCAAAUCAUGUGAACGUUGGGAUUUUCGGUGGGACCGAAAAUACAAACUCGGUGAGUCCGAUUCGUCCAAAGACAAGAGCUUGCCAAUCUCGGUGGGACCGACUUCAUCAUCUCGGUGACACCGAUUUGAUGACAGAAGGUUACAGAAGCUUGGCAACUCAAGUUUCGGUGAGACCAAGUUAAGAAUCGGAAAAUCCGAGAUUUCUAGGGUUUGGCUUUGUGGCUGAGGUGGUUCAUCUCGGUGUGACUGGGUUUGGAAAAUCGGUGGGACCGAGAUUACUUAUGAGUGUAUUAUGGAAGUGAGAGUUGCUGAUAGUUUAGGAGAUGUAUCACUAAGCACUUUGAGCGACCAGAUCAUUAUCAUAACCUCAUCCCCUUUUAAUAGUAUUGGCUUUCCUAUAGACUCAAUGUGAUCUUGGAUCACUAAACCAAAAUGGAGUCUUGAGCUUUUGCCAAUGCUUGCCUUAGCAUUUUGAGGGGUCCACCUCUUCAGUCCUUUUGCCAUGCCAAUGUGCUUGACUUUCCUGAAACAUACUUGAUAAAAGCAUUAGUCCAACCACAAAGUAUGUUGUCAUUAAUUACCAAAACCACCCAGGGAGCAAAUGUGCUUUCAACUGGGUCGGUUGGAGCCGGACGCCGGCCAUGCUGGCCGGGUCCGCGCUGGAUCUCUGGGACGGGCUCGUCGCCCAAUCCGCCGGCAGCUGUGGCGGCCGGAUCGCGCCGAGUCCGGGCUCGGCCGGAGUGCGCCUCACCGGGUGGCGAGGAAGCUGUGUGUAGAAGUUCACUGGCUCUGCCAAGGCGGGCGGAGCCGGAUCCCGGCGGCUUGGCGAGCUGGUUGAGGCGGUCUUGCUGGGUGUUGGCCGCGUUGAGGAGUUCGCGCAUCCGCCCAAUGUGCUCCUUCAGCUCCUCACCCGUGAGCUGGUCCUGGCCGACUGCGGCUGCCUGGGCAGUGCGCAUGUUCUUUGUUGGGGUCUCGUAGACGGUCGGGACGGCACCAAGGGCCCGGCCGAUCACUCCUCCUCGGGCAUGCACGUCGGCGACCCGGCUUGGCUCGGCCGUGGCGGGCGUGAAUCCGUAGGCGGCAUUGCGCUCCAGCUGAGCGGCGUCCAGGCGACGCUGAGUGGCGGCGAGCAUCUCGGACAGGUCCAGCAUCUGUUGGCUCCUUUCCUCGAGCUGGGUUCGGGUCUCAGUGACGUUGGUGGCGUCGACGUCGGUGCCGAUGGGGAUGUGGAGGCUUUGCGUCGCGGCGUGCAACGGAUCGGACGGAUCGGUCCGUUCUGCUGUGGCCCUAGCUUCGGCAGCCUUCCUCGUCUUGCUCGACGAGGAGGAGGCGCCAUCGCCGGUGAUGAAGACCUCCACAUGGACGUCCAUUGUCCCGGCGGAAAUGCCGCCGCCGAGGGAGAGGGGGGAGUCGGAGUAGCUAAGCACCUCGUUGGGGUACUCAUCGGCCGCGAACGCAUCGGAGAUGCGCAGCGUGGCGAAGGAGGCGGCGAGCGCACCGACGACGUUGUCCGCCAGCGUGACGGACUUGUUGGAAUAGGAGAAGGGCCCCGUCUGAAGCAUGCUCCCGGCCAGCUCCUCGAGCUGCCCCACGGUGGGCGCCAACUGUCAUGGUGGGCGCACGGCAGAUGCCAAGGGAUGGCUAAAGAGAGGACAAGGCUUGAAAGCGCUGGUGGGCUCCAGAGGCGAGGUUGGCAUGAGCGGGCGCAGGACGCCAGACAUACCCAGGUUCGGGGCUCUCCGGAGAGAUAACACCACUAGUCCUCCCGAGUGUAGUUGGAUGUUCGAUAGUAUAAUGUUGCUCCUGGAGCUGUAUGGGGGAGGAAGGACGCUGGCCAAGGCUUGGGCUACUCCUUCUCUCUAGUGUUGCUGUUUUGGUGGCUAGUUCUGUGGUUACUUGCCUUUCUCUCAUUACAUGCCCGUAUGAGCGUGGGCUCCUGGGGGCUUUUAUAGACCAACCCCACGGGGAUACAAUGGUAAUGUUAGAAGUUGGUGGGUCCGCAUUGUUGGUGUCCGGGGACCCGGGCUGGGUCCCGCUGAGGGCUUGCGGUUCGCCGGGUUCCCCUAGGUGUGGGCCCUGCGUGCCUAGGGGGGACUGUGCACGGUCUUGCCGAUCGUCAGGGCAUGGCCGAGUCGAGUCGUGUAUAGUGGCUCUCCGUCAGGUUGCCGCUUGUUGUCUUCAGCGGUGAGGGCGGGGGCACUAUAGCCACGCCGGCCCUGGUCAGCGGGUAGGUGAGGGGCACUGUUGCCACGCUCCGGCUGACCAGAGGCAUGGGCGGGACACUGUCGCCUUGGUCAUCGUUGAUUGAAUACUCAUCCCAUCGUACGGCCUGGAUGGGACGGGAGCUGACCCAUGGCUGGACUGCGGAGCACGCCACGGGUGGAGCUGGCUUGUUGAGGAAGCUUUCGUGGUGCCGGGUUCGGCUAUCUUGCGCUAGUUGUUGAGGCCAAGUCGGCGCGUCUUGCCGGGUCGGAGAGUCUGGCCGGGUUGCGAGUCUUGACCCGGCCAAGCGCGUACCGGUUUGAGGGGCGGUGCCAGCCCCGUUGUUUUUGUUUUUUGAAGAGGAUCCGGGUUCUAUUGCCUGCCCGGGGUUCAUCCCUCCGACAAUACCGGUGCAAUUGCCUUGGCAAAGGAAUCCAGAUUUCACAAGAGAACCAAGCACAUCAAGAGAUGCUUCAAUUCCAUCUGUCAUCAAGUGUCAAAAGGGGACAUAGAGAUUUGCAAGAUACAGAUGGAUCUGAAUGUUGCAGACCCGUUGACUAAGCCUCUUCCACGAGCAAAACAUGAUCAUCACCAAAUCUCCACGGGUGUUAGAACCAUUACUAUAUAAUCUAGAUUAUUGACUCUAGUGCAAGUGGGAGACUGAAGGAAAUAUGCCCUAGAGGCAAUAAUAAAGUUAUUAUUUUUUUGCUUAAUUCAUGAUAAAUGUUUAUUAUUCAUGCUAGAAUUGUAUUAACCGGAAACUUAGUGCAUGUGUGAAUACAUAGACACAACUUAUAGUCCUUAGUAUGCCUCUACUUGACUAGCUCAUUAAUCAAAGAUGAUUAUGUUUCCUAACCAUACACAUGUGUUGUCAUUUGAUGAACGAGAUCACAUAAAGAUUGAUAUAUUGGAAAGCUAUGUUUGGAGACUAGAAAGGUUCCGAGUGGUUCGGGCAUUUUUCCGGAGUACCGGGAGGUUGCCGGAACGUCACUACAAAAAAAUACACUUCCGUCAUGAUACGUGUUUGUCGCAGUAGGUCGCGUUUUUUGUCAUGCAUGUACAUCCAUGAUGAUUUAUGACAGAAUCCAGAUAGUCAUACAUGUGCUGUCGUAGAAGUGUUCCAUGACAUUACCAAAACUAUCAUCACGGAAGUGUCCACUCCAUGACGAUAAAUCGCGCGUCACAGAAGUGCUUUCGUCAAGAAUGACCAACACGUGGCAUGCACCGUAAUGGAACGCUGUUAAGCUAUCGGGUACGGUUUUGGAUCCGAUAACCCGUUAACAACCCCAACCAAUGGAGAUUUUCCACGUGUAAAAUCAUCAUUGGCUGGAGGAAACAUGUGUUGGCUCAUCGUUGGGACAGAUGUCAUCCACUCAUUGGACAGAAGGCGCCUAUGAUACGUGGACACGUGGCACGGCCCAACAGAGGCCCAUUCCUGUGAAAAGGCCGGCCCGUUUGACUUGGGAAAAAGGUGGCGGGCCGGCCAACUGAAAGCCUGUUAACGGCCUAUUCGCAUAUAGCCUAUUUACAGCCCGCUAACCCAGGGCCCGUUACGACCUAUCCGAAUUAGGCCGAGUAGCGUCAUAUGGGUCGUCCAAUAUGAUUCUAGCCUGUUUUAACUUCCGGCCCAUGUAUGGCCCAUGACGUCUUUCGGCCCAUAUGAGGCCCUUUGUAACUCUUGGCCCAUUAAUGGCCCGUGGUGAAACUGGCCCGUAAUAAACAGUGUAUCACUUUAUACCCAUUAACGGCCCAUUAUUCCAUUGGGCCGUUUCCAGCCCAUGUUAUCUUUCAGCCUUCUCAGGGCCCAUUUAUUCUUGGGCUCAUUUCCAGCAUUCGGUUACUUAUGGCCCGUUACUGUCUUUUUCUGCUUGUGGGCCAAAUUCAGCCCGUUGUUACAGUCGGCCCAUUUGUGGCUCGUUAAUACGUUGGGCUGUUUUCAUAGCGUCAUCAAAUAUGACCUAUUAACGAUGGCCCGUUAUGGUCGGCCCAUGAACGGACGAUUCCAACUCUAGCCCGUUUGCGACCAUAAUGCGGUCUGUUAUUGGCCCAUGUUUGGCCAAUCGAUCAUACGGCCCAGAUAAGGCCCAUUGAUGAUACAGCCCAUAGAAGGCACAUUGUUUCUACGGCCUGUAGAAGGCCCAUUGUUUCUACGGCCGGUAGGAGGCAUAGUGUCACUACAGUAAAUAUGUAGCCCAUGGCUAUUGUGGCCUAGUUUUAAAAAAUAGGUUAUUGCGGCCACUAGCAAACCGCGGAAAAAGAACUGCACUGACUACAAGCAAACAAAUAAACAAGACAACAAGGAAAUAAAUUAGCAAGCAACUAACGCUAGGCUAUCACGGCUAUUACACAUAUUACAUCCACUGGGCAUCAAAGUUCGCCACCAGUGCAAAUAUAGGGAACAAAGCAGCAUAUCAUAUACACUAGUUGUCAAAGUUGGCGACCAGCGCAAAUAAAUGCCACAGCAAAACAAAUCCAGAACUGAAACCACUUCAGAAGAUCUCAAGAAACAAUAUCCUGGGUACCCAUAAUGCUGGCAAGAUGCUUAGCAAGCUUAUUAACUUUCUCUUGUUUAGCGCUUAAAUCCUCCAGCGCUUGUUGUUGCACCAGGAAGUAUGCAUAUGAAUUCUGCAGGGACUUCCUCAAUCCUUCAGCUUCAUGUCACAGCACAUCUGAUCGAUGUCUUUCAACUUGAAGAUGAGACUCAAGAAUAUGAACUGAUUCAGGUAGCGAGUUCGAAGAGCUUGUGCCAGCAGUAGUGGCCAGUAACUCGAACACUACAUCAAGACAGGACUUUUGGAUUCUCUCACUGUCGUCAAGACAGUAUUUAUCAGCUUUCUUGGAAACCAAUAGGGAUGUCUCACUAUCGUGAACCUUAUCUGCAUUACUUCCUUUACCAUUGCAUAAUGCGGUACUCAGGGGCGGACCCGGGACAAAAAUGACCCGGUGUCCCAUGUCUACCACAUGUGUAUGUCAAGUAGUAAUAUACUCCCGGUAACCCGGUGACCCAGGAGUACAUAAGAAUAAUGGCUUGUAUUUUCUUUUCGGCCUUUGGCCGGUAACCUCCUUCUUAUUUAAUGAAUGAGGCAAGUCUUUUGCCUCCGUUUAAAAAAAUAGAACAAAGUCUACAUAGAAUAUGAUAUAAGAGUCAAUAUGCUUACCAGAAAUCCAAAUAUAAGAGGUUCGCUUGAAAUAUUAGUUGAUCGUAGAAUAUGCAACAAUAGCAGAGCAUCAAAUUAUCAAAAUAAGUACGAAGGAUGCUAACACAAUGCGACAUUAGAGCUCUGAUUGCCUACAGAACAAAAGAAACAAAACCACUUAGUAAUAUAUUAAGUAUAAUUCUGCAAUAAACAGAUAUGUUAAGACAAGUACCUUUUAAAAAUAUUUUAAAGUUUUUUCAUGACCCCAAAGCGAUCAAUUACCGCUUCAUUCUUCAUUGAUAAUCUUGCCAAGUCGCCCGAAGCCGGAUCAGUGGGGAACUAAAAUUUCUGGAUGAUAUUUUUCCAUGUUUUAGUCCAUAAACUGAGCUUCUACUAUAAUUUAAGAUUUUUUCCCCAACUGUUAUUAAGAUAAUUAAAAUUUGCACAAAGAAAAGAAAGAACUAUAAAACAUAUUACUGUACUUGAACUGCUAGGUACUCCCUCCGUCCGAAAAUAAUUGUCAUCAAAAUGGAUAAAAAGGGAUAUAUCUAGAACUAAUAUACAUCUAGAUACAUCCCAUUUUAUUCAUUUUGAUGACAAGUAUUUCCAGACCGAGGGAGUAUAUAAUUAGACUUACUUGACAUUGUGCUUGUGCGUCCAGCCGGUAGGUGCUCAAGAGUAUCGCAGACUUUUCUCCAAUCUCCACUCAGUGCAUGAUAAUUCUAGAUAAUCCAAUAAUACCAAAUACAAUUAAAUUCUCUAGCCCUAUCCAGUAGCCCUAUUGCCCUAUGGUAGAAAAGCAUUCAAGAAUUGGAUUCUGGAUGUUAUAGAUGCAAGUCGCAUUGGGAAUUUGCGGCUUUGGUGCAGCAGCAGACGUACCAAUUUAGUUCCCCACUGAUCCGGCUUCCGGCGACUUGGUAAGAUUUGGCAUUCCUGACGACUUGCAGUGAGCCUGACGAAGCAGAUGAAGAGGCGGAGGCGCAGGUAUGAAUCAGAUUGAUCGAUGUGGUGUGGAGGACCUGGUGUGGCGGCGAACUGCUCGUUCGCGGCGGCCGGCGAGUCGCAUCCUUAAAGUGGGCCGCGCUAGCAGCUGUUCUCCUUACUGGGCCGCAUGGAGCAAUACCGGUGUCCCUCACUCUUUUUUACCGGUGUCCCUCACUCUUUUUUACCGGUGUCCCUCUCUGUUGGGCUCUAAGGUUACAAGGUAACGCGAUUUUUUACCCGGUGUCCUGUGCUACCUGCUGGGCCAACGUGGGCUCGCCCCUGGCGGUAGUAUUCUCCAAUAUUUUGUCUGCAUUCUAAAAGAGAAACAAGUAGACAUAUCAAAGGUUUACCAUGUUGUAUAUGAAACUCAUUUUUGUAAAUGAGUUCAGUAGUAAAGUGGACAGGAUAACAGCAUGAAACAAACAUAUAUCUAUGUACCAUGAUCACUUUAUGAUCUAUAUCAUUCUAGUUUUUGUUGCCAAAUCAAGAUAGAGACACAGUUCAAAUAAUAUUUGUUCAAGAUAAAGCAGAAUAGACAGAAUAUAAGUGUCGGAAACUAUAGAGCAAUAACAACACUUGUAAUGUGCAUGACAUGAGAACAUAAGUGUUUUUUCAAUUGAAACUGAAAUCAACAUAGAGCAGGUUACAACAGCAAACCAGUUAAAGAAACAGGUAUAAAACAUACCUGUUGCACCAUUGGAGUUUCAAUUACAUCCUUCAAAUUUGAAAAUAGUUGGUAUGAGUAAAUACUGUAAUGCAAGAGCAAACGAGUAUGAACCAUAGCUACAGAACCUGACCCGAGAACAAAUCUUCUUCUCCUUUAAGCGUUGAGUUGGGAUUCGGAGUGGUGGUCCUCGUGCUUUGGGCACUGCAGUUCCCUUACUAACUGCUCGUGUUUGGGUGCUCUGUGGUGGAGACGGUGAUGUGUCAACUGGAACUGGGUUACUAUCUGCCAGUGUUGGGGUUAGAAGGGGUGUAGCUGGUUCUCUAUCCAACUAGGUAGGGGUACAAUCUGCGAGAGUCUGGGUUAUGUGUGGUGGAUCUGGUCCUUGGGCAAGUACAACCGUGGUUCUAUCUGCAUCAAUUGGUAGCACUAUCUUUUUUGAAGACCGUGUUGUUACUCCCUUAGAUACUACCAUCACCCUCUCCAAUUCAAAUGGCUGAUAAACAAGAAAAGUAAUUGAAAGUAUAGACAUUGUAUGAUAGACAGGUGCAAUGGAUAGUGGGGAAUAAAAGAGGGCAUGAAAUAAUUCACAUUUAUGUUGUCUAACCAAACAGAAUAGCAUGACACAAUUUCACAUAUAUGAUGGCUAACUAAACAGGAUAGCAUGACACAAUUUCACAUUAUGAUGGCUAACUAAAAAAGAUGGAAAGACAUAGUUCAAAAUAUGAUGACUAUGUAAACAGGAUGACAUGAUAUAACUAUAUAAUGUGUUUAUUAAAUAGGUUGGCAUGCCAUAAUUCACAUACAUUCACGGAUAGAAUGCCAUAUAUCAAAAUAUGAUGACUGUAAACAUUAAACAGGAUGAGAUGAUAUAACUAUAUGAUGUCUUUAUUAAAUGGGUUGCCAUGCCAUAAUUCAGAUAGAUGAUGUGUAUGUACUAUGUAAACAUGAUGGCAUGAUAUAAUUCAAACAUAUGAUUUAUAUAGUAAGCAAGUAAGCAGAUGGCAAUCCAUAUAUGAUGUAAAAACUAAGCAAUGCAAGACAACAUGCAUGACAUGGGUAAUAUAACCCUGCCAAGUUUGAGCAUAGACCUCAGGGGGAAAAUAGGACUGGUCAUUGGUCUCUGAAUCCUCCUCUGAGGAGCUCUCUGUGACCAGCAAGAUGUCUGCUUCAGCAGGUAGCAUUGUCUGCUCUGAAUACCUUAUUUUAACUCCAGAUACUUCCAUCACCGCUUCAAAUGGCUGAUGCAUAGGAAGAGUAGUUGAAUAUACAAAUGUUGUCGACAAAUGGAACAUGUAAUACAAAAAAAUGAUAGCAUGAUAUAAUUCACAUACAUGAUGAUUGGCUAAACAGCAUGGCAUUUCAUAAUUCACAUAUAAUGCCUUUGCAACAAGAUAGCAUUCAUAAUUCACAUAUAUAAUGUUGUGCAACAAGAUGGCAAUGCAUAAUUCACAUAUACGGUAAUUAGACACUGAACAGGUGGCAUUCACACAAAGCAUGUCCAAACUAAUCAAGUGACAUAGCAAUUCGAGACACCAUACGCACGAUAUGAUCAACAUAACCCUGCCAAGUUAGAGCAUACACCUCAGGGGGGAAUAGGACUGGUCAUCUGUCUCUGAAUCCUCCUCUGAGGAGCUAUUCAUAACCAGUGAGAUAUGUGCUUCGUCAGAUAGCAUAGUCUGCUCUGAAGACCUUGUUUUCACUCCAGAAUUUGCCAUCACGUGUCAAAUGGUUGAUGCACACGAAGAACAGUUGAAUGUACUAACAUUGUUGACAAAUGUAAUAUGUAACGAAAAAAAGGAUGGCCUGAUAUAAUUUACAUAUAAGAUGACUGGCUAAGUAGGAUGGCAUUGCAAAAUUGACAUAUAUGAUGCCUGGCUAAACAGGAUGGCGUUGCAUAAUUCACAUAAAGGAUGAAUAAACUAAACAGAUGGCAUUCGCACAAAGGAUGUCUAAACUAAGCAGAUGACAUAUUUGAUGUAUAAAGUAAGCAAUGCAAGGCACCAUAUGCAUGAUAUAACCAACAUCAGCAUGCCAAGUUAGAGCGAAGACCUCAGGGGGUAAAUAGUAGUUGUCUUCUCCUUCUGAACCCCCCUCAGAACAGAUAUCUUCCUUUCGAUUACAAUCCGAAAUGCGUGGAGGGGGCUGCCUUUGCGCCUACCAUGGAGCGAUGUCUGCAUGAAAGUUUAUUGCCACGCAAGGCUCGUCUCUUUUGCUCUACAUGUUCAGUUCCAUUGUUUACAAUAACUGUCAUGCAUAGGAAUAAAACAUAGUGAGAUUAUGUAAGGAGAGCAUGCAGAAAUCCAGAGUGAUGGUUGCAACCUAUGGAUAGACCCAAAACCAAUAAUAGCAGGCAGAUAAUGGCUUCAGUUAAAAAAUACAGAUAAUGGCUUCUUUACUGUUUGUUUCCCACCCAACAUGAAACUCAUAGUAGAAACCGGAGAUUAACCAGAUAGUAGAUAGAUACUAUUGAUUGCGGCCCCAAUAUGUACCCCACAACCAUUUAAAAACUCAAGUUUGACCAUUAGUUUGGAGCUGACUCAGAGUCUAAUUGGUGAACAGGACGAUAAAGUAGCAUGUAAUAUUAAGCGAUGCAUAACGUAAGCAGACACUACUAGGGAAAACCUUAUACAUAGAAAUUUAGCAACAGCGUGGGUCAAAAAAGGGCGCUAGUGCUAUAUAGCAGUAGCGAUUGAAGAAAAACCGCGCUACAGAUACAACCUUAGCAGUAGCGCGUGUAGUUGCAAAAGCGCUACUACUAAUAUUCCCACUGGCAGAAUGAUAGGCUACGCAUAGAAGUAGCGGGCUUGGAAGAAACGCGCUACCGCUAGGGCAUAAUUAGCAGCGCGUUUAAGAAGAGCGCUACUACUAACGGAAAUAAAAUAAGAUGAAAAACAAAUAGAAAAGUAAAUGAAAACGGAAGAAAUAGAAAAAGGAGAAAGGAAAAAAUAAAAUGUAAAGCAAAAUAAAUGAAAAAGCGAAAAAAUGGAGGAAGGCAUCGCAGCAGCGUGUGUUUGUAAGAGGCGCUAUAGCUAACGUAGCUGCAGCGCGUGUCCUAGACCCCUGCUAUAGAAACAGAAAAGGAAAUUAAAAAAUGGAAGAAAUUUACAUAGCUAUAGCAGUAGCGCAUUUUGUAAAAACCGCUAUAGCUAUCUUAGCUAUAGCGCGUUUUACCAAACGCGCUACCGCUAAGUUUGACUUAACCAAAAAACCGUUUCCCCUCGGCCACCACUUCUCCCCCAAAUCCCUCAACCCACCCCGCGCGCCGCAGUCUCCCUGAUUCACCGUCGCCCCACUUCACCGCCGACGUCGACGCCACCAGAGCCGAGCGCCGUCGACGCCACCGGAGCCGCCCCCAACGCCACGGAGCCGCGCGGCAUCGUCAACGCCACCGGAUCCGCCAUCGACGCCACCAUAUCCUUCCUCGCCACAACUGCCUCUCUCGCCGUCACCGGAGACGCCCCUGCCUCCCUCGCCGUCACCGGAGACGCCCCUGCCUCCCUCGCCACCACUGCCUCCGUCGCCACCACCGGAGCCAUCCUCUGUAAGCCCCCACCCAUCCUCUCUCUCUCAUGCAUAGGUUAGCCAGUUUAAUUAGGUUAAUUAUCUAGGUUAGGGCAAAAAUUUAGUUAGGGCUUUGACAGAGAAGUAGUUAGGUUAACUAGUUUAAUUAGGUUAAUUAUCUAGGUUAGUGCAAAAAUUUAGUUAGGGCUUUGACAGAGAACUAGUUAGGUUAACUAGUUUAAUUAGGUUAAUUAUCCAGGUUAAUUAGUGCAAAAAUUUAUUUUAGGCUUUGACAGAGAACUAGCUGCGUUAACUAGUUUAAUUAGGGUUAAUUAUCUAGGUAAACUAGAUUAACUAACUAGGUUAAAUAGGUAGGUUAAUUAAGCUAGGUUAAGUAGAUUGGCUAGGUUAGAGGAAAAUUUUAUUUUAGAGCAUUAGGUCAGAAGGGUUAGAGAAAUGGAUUUCCUUUGCAAUUUAAUUGGGUUUUGUGUUUAGUGAGGUCAUUUUGCAAAGGUUUUUGAUUUUUGAAAAGACCACUAUUUUUCAAGGAAAAGAAUUUAGGCAAAUUUUAUUUUUCAUUGAAGUGGUCAUGUUAUAUCUUUUCAUUGAAGUUGUUUGAUUGUGCCCAAGUGGCUUUGUUGUUUCCAGGGAAUGAUGCUGAGUGGCCUAUGUUUUGCCGGAAUGUUGAUUCAUUUCUGUUCCGGCAAAUUUCAGGUUCUCGAUUUGUCCACUUUUUAGCAAAGGUCAUGCCGAAAUUUUCCGUGAAUUUCGGCAUGACUUGUGCUACAAACUAGGACAUAUCGAGUGCCCGAGAUUUGCCGCACCAGGAAGGAGUCAACAUUCCUGCAAAACAAUAGUCCUUUUUUAUGUCAUUAUUCAUUUUAUUAGGUCUAGAAUUAAUUUACUAGAUUUAAUCAUAGGAAAUGUGGCUAGCAACGAUGAAGGACAGGGUUCUGGUGAUUGCGACGACGUCUACCGGGCAGCAGACGAAUUUUUUAGCCUUACCGACGAUCAACAGAUGUUGUUGUUGGGCCCACCGGUGGCAUCGGGGACUAAGACCGACACGUAGACCGGUGCUAAGACUGAGACCGGCACUGAGAUUCAGACCGGCAUCGAGACCGGCGCUGAGACCGGUGCUGCCUCGGGGAGCGGAGCCGGUGUAGAACCGAAAGCAAAGAGGCAACGGGUUCCUAACAAACUCAGGACUACAAGACUGGUGGUCACGGAGGUGGACGACGGCAAUUUUGAGCCAAAGGUGCCCGAGGAAGCGCGCGCGUGCUACGGCAAUCAAAUAGGCUGCAUCAUACGGACAACCGCCACCAUCAACGAUGAGAAACUACAGAAGAUAGAAAAUAUGAGGAGCUCCCUCCUAAAGAAGUUUCACCAGAUAUUCUUGUUCCCGGGCCGGAAUGAGAAGGAUUAUGAAGAUCCAGACGAGGACCCGGCGAAGAAGAUAAACAAACACGCCAUGACCAAGUUUAGCGACGCGUUGGCCGCCUGGAAAAAUCGAGUGAAAGCAAAGAUCAACGAUGGGGAACCCUACUCCGAGAUUGUAAAGGAUAAUACGACAAUCACGGAAGAGCAGUUUCAAAUAUUCAAGGAGGCUUGCAAGGCCGAAGCUGCCAAAAAAAGUCUAAGUACAUGAAGGCGCUUCAAAAGAGGAACAUUGGGAGCCACCACCUCGGAAGCCAUGGUUACGGUGGAAAGAGGUCCAAAUGGGCCAAGGAGGACGCGGAAGCCGCGAGUCUGGGCAUCCCAGACCCCUUGGUGGAUUUCACCGUCCCGCAGGAGCGUGACGUCCUGAGGGCCCGACACCAUUGGGACCCAGUGAAGAAGGUUUACAAGACAACACCGGUCAUUACGGAGUUCAUGAGACUGCUGGUAAAUUUAGUUUCUGAUCAAUUCGACUGCACACGUUAGUCAUAUUUGUAAAUGAUCCUUGUGCCUUAAGCAGAGAGAGCAGCACCGGAUUGCGGCCGAAAGCGACUCGCCGUCUGAGGCAUUGGCGAAGCCCAAGUGGGACACUCCAUUCAACCGGGCGUUGAACAUAUUGAAACAACAACCGAUGGAUACUCGACCAUCGUAUGGACGCGUGCACGGUGUCGGAGACGGCGCCACGUGGAAGAAGUACUACCGUGAGACCACGGAGAAGAGAAAGGAAAGACGGAGGUUAAUUGAAGAAAACAUCAACAAGAAGGUUGAGAUGCGGUUGACAAGAAAUCAUCUCAGACAGUCGCAACAGCGGUAGCUGCCGCAAAACAGGCGAUUUCACUUGGACAAGGCAAAAUCCAGAAGAAAAAAAUGCAGAGGACUUUCCCCUUGCUAACUUCUUGGGAGCACCUGCUCCCGCACCGGCUCCCGCACCUGCUCCCGCACCGGCUCCCGCACCUGCUCCCGCACCGGCUCCCUCACCGGCUCCCGCACCGGACGUGCUCGGUGGUGCCUCCUCUUUGGCUGAGCUCGACGGCCUCACGGUAUCUAUCACACCGGCCCCCUUCAAUAUAAAUGUAUAAUCUCCCGUUUUCGUUGCCUUUCGGAUGUCUCACGUCGCAGACUUUUCUUUGCAGGCCGACGAAACACCGUGCACCAUAUUGUACACCAUCGGCGAACAGAAGAUGGACGUGGGGAAGGCGACGAUAAAGGAGCCGAAGGAACCAUUGUUCUACAGCCGGCUGAUCCCCCCGAACGCCUUCAAGGUUUCCGUGGCCAGUGUCAAACCGGGCCAUGAGAAUUUGCCUCCUCUAAUACUAGUGGGGGAUGACGACGAGACCCCGUGGCAGCUUGGUGAUUGUUGCAAUGGGUGGGUCCUAUUGUGGCCAAAGAGUCUGCUUCGUCUGGAGGUGGCCGGGAGCACACCCACGAGCACACAGCCUCAGCAAGGUAUGAACAUCAACACCCCACCUACCCAAUUAGCGUCGGGUGUCGGGUUCGGUGAUAGCGGACGGGGUAAGGAGGAGGCUCCAUUAGUCGCUGAUGACGUCGCCAUGGAUGAGGAUGAGGAUGACGAUGGCGCUGAACAGUAUGUCUAUACUGGCGCCUCCUCAGGGUUUGAGCGUCAUGAGUCAGUGCCUGAAUUACCGUCUCAACGUAUUAUUGACGACCUUCCGGUAGUAAAGAAGUCUAGGAAGAGAGCGAGGAAAGGCAAAAAAGUUGAUUCGACAAUCCAGCCGCCUUAGCAGCCUCGGCUUCAGGACCGUAUAGAUAUCCCCGAUGCGGAUAAAUGGCAUAUCCCCGGUCAACCAAUCCUACCUGAAACAGCGCUACGGGCCAGAUUUGGCAAUCUAAGGAGACUUCAUGACGAUGUGCUGCGGGUAGAGAAAGGCCUCAUCGCCUCGAAAGAUCCAGGAUACCCACUUUACGUGGUUAACAUUCCGCGGCAAAUGUUGUAUGUCGACAGCUUCCCCGCGGAUAAGUUCUUCCUCCGAUUCGAUUACAUAUUCGACAUGUUUCACGUGAAGAAGCUGGAUUUUACGUUUGUCCGCCUUUAUGCCUUGCACAUGAACUACAUCAUUGGGGUUGAGCAGAUACGUCAUAUCUGUGUCGCUGACCCGUACUACAUGCACGAGGGCUUCUUGGGAGUCUGUGCAGAGCACCGUGAAUACGCGGGAUUACAUCAUCAGUUUCAUGCUCGCCAAUAAGGACAAGGAGGCGAUUCUCGUGCCUUAUCAUCCCGUGUAAGUCAUCCGCGCUGCGAUCCUUCUUCCUUCAAUUUCAAUAAUUCAUUUGCACGGUGGAGGCUAAUUAAUUUGAGGUGUACUUAUUUUGCGCAGCGGCGGGCGCGCCGUCCUCAUCAUCCUCUACCCCCGAUUCUCCCACGCUCUUUACUUGGACUCGUCGAAGAACAUUCACAAAAAGGAUUACACCCACAUCAAAGAUGUUCUCGACAGUGCUAUGUUUUACUACCAAGCAAGGGGUGGAGAGGUUAGGGACAAGAAGAGAAGGGGCGGUAGGGACGCCUUCAGCCAUAAGACCGACUUCUGCUGCAUUCAGCAACCGAACGAUUCUCUUAAUGAUGGAUUCUAUGUCCUACACCACAUGCUGGAGUACAGACGGGAUCACCAGAACCUUCGCAUGUCACCUAGAUCUGGCGAUGCCCAUAUUCUGCAAUGGGCAAAGGACAUAGGAGAUAUCGAGGAUCAUCGACUUCGAGCUAAGUUCUAUAACAUCCAGCGCGAACUUGCCCAAAUAAUCAUGAAUGAGGUCGUCGGAAAAACAGGGAUGUUCUACGCAGAAGGACAAAUGUCGCGGGAAGACGUCCGAACAUGGAUAGCCUCUCAGUGUCUCGACAUGAAGCCUUUCACUAAGCUCGAGGACUAUCUCCCUGACAUGGAUGGAUGGCACGACAUGAUGGAGUGAUUGUCGAUAUACGACAAUGUGUCCGUUUAGUCCAUACUUUCUUUUAUGACAAAACUUUGAGUUAGGCACGGUGAAACUUUAUUUGUGAUGUAAUUAAACCGUCCUCCUCCUCGACUAGCGAAAAUCACUCUAGUUAGGGCAUUUUGGGUACGAUGAACUUUGUUUAUGCUUAUGAUAUGUUGUUUCUAUUUUUGCCAAGUCUGUCUCUUUCUGUUGCUCAACUAUAUAUGUUGCAUAUCAUCGACUCAUGUGACGAUGCAGGUGCAUAGAUCAUAGAUGGCGAAAAAGUGCUACACCAGGAGUAUAUAUACGACAAGUGGCCGGAGUGUCAGGCCCAGGUGUACCGGUUUUCGGUUUCCGAGCGUCAGGCAGUAGUUAGUUUAGGUUCAUGCUAAUGCGAGAGGGGGAUACGAACUCAUGUACUCAAAGUGAUAGCUAUUCUCGCGUAUAUCAUUGUUUAGAUGGAUGAUGAUGUAUUUGCAAGUAAUCGAGACUUGUAUCGCUAUUUUCAAGAUUGAUGACGAGAGACCACUUUGUGUUGGAUGAUGAUUAUGAUGAUGACAUGAUUUGAUGAGACUAAUUGUAUGUAUAUGCUAUGAUUACAUUUGUAUAUGGAUGAUAUGCUAAAGAUUAUUGUAUAAAUCUUAUUCAAAUACAAAACAAAUAAAAAACAAAUAUGCAGGAAAAAACAAAUAAAACUAGUAGUAGCGAGGGGGGAAAUUUAGCAGUAGCGCCGCCUUACCAGUAGCGCUUCCCUAUAAACAGCGCUACAGAUAAUAUCAGUAGCGCCCUUUUCUAAAGAGCGCUACAGCUAUUCAUGUAUAGCAGUAGCGUGGGUCAACAGGCGCUACUGCUAUACGUUAGCUGUAGCGCCUUAUUAGUAGCGCCGGUACCCGCGCUACUGAGAGGGCCAAAACCCGCGUUGCUGCUAGGCUUUUCCCUAGUAGUGAGACACGAAAGAGUGCGACCUCUCUUGCGGACCCGUGUAGUCCUUGAGGUCAUCUGCUCGGUUGAUGAUGGUAAUCCAGUUUUCAAUCCUGCCGGUGGCGGGGAAGAAGAUCUGAGGCGGCGAAAGACAGUCUGGAGGCUGGAUCCCUACUGUGCUGGACCCUUCUGCCGUUCGAGCAGCUGAGCUGGGGUGGACGACGGCGCAGUAGGAGAGGGACAAACCAUGCAACGUUUUCUUUGACAACUAUCUAUAAGAGAAGUAACUCUGUAAGGGCUCGUUUGAAUUGGAGGAUUCCAACAAUGUAGGGAUAGGAAAUAGAUAGGAAUAGGAUAGGAAUGCACGUGCAAAACGGAGAAUUUAAAAACACAGGAUAUCUGCCAAUCUGGGUGUUUGAUUCACAACAAUUGGAAGAUCACAGGAUGCAAAGAAGCAUGGUAAGAUUAAGUCAAACCACAAGAAAAUGUAUGGUUAUAAUGCUAUUAUGCUACUAUCUCUUAGUCUUGUACUUCAUGAAUAGGAAUUUGAAAAGGAGGACAAGUGAAAAUUAAAAUUCCUACAUUUUUUCUUUCAAGGAGACACUAAAGGAACAAAUCCUACAGUUUUCCUUUGCUCCAUUCCUUUGAACCAAAUUCAUGAAUAGUAGUACCAUAGGAAACUUUCCAAUUCCUAUGUUUUUCAUUCACUUUUCCUUUCAAGCACUGGUGAUUCUAGUAGGCAGGCUUGAGCAAGGAAAAGCCUACACUAAACAAAUGUUUUUGUGCUACUUCUAUUACUUUGGACCCAGGCCACUGCCCUACUAGCUCAACUCCCGCGGCCAUCGACAAAUGCACAGCUCAAACACACAGAGAUAAAUAAUGAUGGCGUUCAAGAGAGUCCAUCACGGAUAGCUAAGUUUCCUGGUACCUCACUUCUUGUCAUAUAGUAGGAUAAAAUAAUUGUAUUUCCUGUUACUACGUAUGCUCAGUGGACAAUAUAUAUAACAUGUAGAGUAAAAAAAGAUAUGCAACAAGUGUACAACCUCUUUGGCGAAGCCAUGUCGAUCUCAGCGUGAUUGGGUUGGCCGGUGAGGAUGCUCUAGCUGACUUUGCUGUCGGAGGAGGGUAAGAAGAUCUUAGGCGUCUGGAGAUGGAGCCCGAGGUACUGCUCCGCUGUGAUGGAGGGUUUCGUUGUUGGAGCAGCUCCGGUGAGUUGUACGACGCCGAGGCUGAAGCAGGACAAGAGAGACAAUGUUAACCUGAGUGGAAUUCUAAUAGCAUCUCCAAUACAUGAUGUAAAAUACAUAACCGCAAAGUGCUAGAUGUAAAAUACAUCAGCCGCUCAUCUCUGAACUUAACUGUCGAAACUGAAUUUAACUAUCAAAACUGAACUUAACUAUUGAAACUGAAUUUUGCUGUCGAAACUGAAUUUUACUGUCGAAACUGAAUGCACUAGCAAGGUGAGGCUACACGUCAGUCGAUUGACUUUUUCAUCUCUAGUCAGUCAAUUUUGCAGCCGUUGGACAUGAAAUCAAGGGCCUGCGGUUCAUCUUCAACCUCCACCCCCGUGAGCCGCCAGCCGCCGUCGGCCAAACAGCAGCCCCCAGCCGCCCGCGGCCGGCGGUGCGCCGCCUCGCCCGCCCCGAAAACACUCCCCACCACCAGUCUGCCGCCGCCCCAGCCNNNNNNNNNNNNNNNNNNNNNNNNNNNNNNNNNNNNNNNNNNNNNNNNNNNNNNNNNNNNNNNNNNNNNNNNNNNNNNNNNNNNNNNNNNNNNNNNNNNNNNNNNNNNNNNNNNNNNNNNNNNNNNNNNNNNNNNNNNNNNNNNNNNNNNNNNNNNNNNNNNNNNNNNNNNNNNNNNNNNNNNNNNNNNNNNNNNNNNNNNNNNNNNNNNNNNNNNNNNNNNNNNNNNNNNNNNNNNNNNNNNNNNNNNNNNNNNNNNNNNNNNNNNNNNNNNNNNNNNNNNNNNNNNNNNNNNNNNNNNNNNNNNNNNNNNNNNNNNNNNNNNNNNNNNNNNNNNNNNNNNNNNNNNNNNNNNNNNNNNNNNNNNNNNNNNNNNNNNNNNNNNNNNNNNNNNNNNNNNNNNNNNNNNCCCCCACCCUGGACCCUAAGAUAGAUAGUGGGGUACCUCUCCGGCGAGCCCCCCUCCCCGCUACGGUUGGUUCUUCCUUCACCCCGGCGAGCCCCCCACCCCCUGAAAAUCGACUGACCCAAAAGUCGAUUCAGUCGACUGAAGUGUAGCUAAAUCGGAGCAGCAUCGCAAGCAAGAGAAAGAGCGAGAGCAGCAGCGCGAGCAAGAGCAAUAGCAAAAGCAGACCAGGCAGGGGACCGAGAGCAAGAGCAAGAGCAGAGCAGCGCGAGCGAGAGCUAAAGCAGCAGCAGCUCCUACUGAUGUGGACGUCGCCGCCGAGGGAGCGACGCCAUGGAGGAAGUGGCCGGCGACGCCGCCGUGGAUGGAGCCGCCCCGUGUCGGCUCGGGACCGAGCGCCGGUAGCACCGUGGGAUCGAAUCAAGAAGAAAAUGUGGUGAUUAGUAUACAACCGCUUUGGUGGCGCUGAUUAGGCCGCAUCUUCAUCCGAAGAAACGGUGAAGAUGAUGCUCUUCAGAUGGUGCAGGUGAAGACGACGGUGUGGGAAUGGAGGUGGCGCGAAAGAUGAGGGGAAUGUCGGGGAAGCUCCUUGGAGGUGGAGGACGGGGUGGCUGAACCGGUGGGACGACGAGAUCGACGAUGGAUCCUCAUUCGGUAUGGUGGAUGAGGGAUGUUGAGGUGUUGUUGUGGACGACGUCGUCGGGGAAGAGGCUCCGGCUGGGUGGCGGAUGGAGGAGGGUGUGGGGCUUCGUCGUGGCUUUUCACGGCCUUGGUGUACGAAUGAGUGGGCGGAUGGGAUGGGAGUGGGGAAGACGCGCUUGUCCGAAAUGUGGGGUAAGUUAUGAAAGUACCCCCACCGAUUUGAGGUGGUUCUCGGUUCAGGGGUACCACUGGCAUUUCGCAUGUCAGGAUUUCACAGGAGGUGGGAGUUUUCGCGCGCGUUGUAAUUUUGGAAUAGCAAGGCGCGGGUUGAGAUGGAGGGAGUUGUCGGAGCACAACAAGACAAAGAUAUAUCUUAAAUAUUUCAGGCUAACAAGGCGCGGGUUGAAAUUUGCGGACAAGCCUAACGUGUACUGUACCAAAUCAAUUCGCACUACAAAUUCCAUUCAAAACUUUGAAUUCAUGUUAUGUUCAAUUAAAAUAUUUCGCUUCGUGUAUAAUGCAUGCAACCUACUACUCAAAUGAACGUUUUAGUGCAUUCCAAACGUAUAUACUACUGCUUCAAUAUGAACUAAAUUUGAAUUUGUUUCUCUAUUUGAAUAAGAUCUGCAGUAAUGAUUGUUGUGAAGUCAAAGCAUUUGAAUUUGUUUCUCUGUUUUAAUAAGAUCUACAAUCAUCAUUAUUGUCAAGUUAAACCAUCGUUUGUGUAUUAUCUUCAUAGCACACCACAUGAUUAGUCUCGAGUUACAUAUGAACUAUGUGUACUAUAUGAACUCGAACUCGAUUUUUUGAAUCCACUUUAUGUUGAUUUCAAAUCACAUUACAUUUCUAGCUCUAGCUAGAUCUUCAUAAUCUAAACCAUGUCUCAUAUGUAUAAUGUGUUUAUCACAUUAUGUAUGGUGCCCUGUCCCCUACGCCUACAAGUAUUUAGAUGUGAGUUGCAAACACCACACAUUACCACAAAUUCAAAUAAAAUGUGAGAAUCUUCGAUAUAUAGUAUUGUUUAGAUUGUUCAAUAUUUAGUUGUAAGCUGCAAACGCCACACAUUAUCACAAAUUAAAAUAACAUGUGGGAUUUUUUGAUGUACAGUAUGGUUUAGAUUGUUUGACAUUUAGCUAUGAGUUGCAAACGCCAUGCAUUAUCACACUAUGGUAUAACAUGUGCACAGCACGCGUAUCACCGCUAUAUUCAUGCAUGCAUAUGUUUAAAACACUAUGAUCUCCUAUUCAAAUAUAUGAAUCCACUUUCAUAUCAAAUUAUGAUCUUUGUUAGUCUCUUACACCCAAAAAUCCUCUAACCUUUGUAGCUACCACUAACUUUCUCUCGUGCAUGCACACGCCCUCCUCCCCCUCCCCCUCUCUCGGCAUUCUGUCCACCGGGCACAUUCAUUUUUUUCUUUAGGUCGUUCUCCCAGAGUCUCCACAACUCCUUUCCGACACACACCGAUCGAUAAACCUCUCUGGUGAUGCCUGCCUGCAACAUACACACGCACCUUCAAUCUCCUCCUUUAUGUGUCCUUGCCUCGUGUCUCUCAUAUGGUCACACACACGUGUAAACUCUCUCCCCUCUUUUCAUCGAUCUCACAACCGCACACUCCUCCCCCUAUCUAGCUAGUAGUUGGGCCUCUCGCACCACCUCCUAGCUCCAUUCUCUCUGUCUAUCCGUCUCGCUGGGCCUUAUUUGCCUCUAACAAAUGGACGUACACCGACCGAUCUCCCACUAUACAUAUAGCUAGCUAGGUCCUUAUAACUCGUUUUUACCCACGUGUCGAUCGAUCUACCUCAUUAGUUAUGUCUCUCCCUUCUUCUGACAAACAACAAUUGAUCUACCGAUCUAGUUAGGUUUGCUUACCAAACACAUGGUUCCCCUUCAUCAUCCAUGGAUGCGUCCCGACAGAUCUAUCAUGCACAGGCACACACAGAAACACAUCCCCACUCUUAUUGAUAACAUUGCAGUUCCACCCUUAGUUUGUCUAGUAGGCCUCUCCCACCAUCUUCGAGAAGCAACUCCAUCACCCAUCCAGCACUCUACCCCUCUCCCUCCCUCUCUCUCUCCUCUCUCUCUCUCUCUCUCUGUCCCAUCAUAUUUCCCGUCCUUCAGUUAUGUAUGGAUGUCGACCGAUCUCCCUCAAGACAUAGCUGUGUCUCUCCUUCUCAACACAUAUACGAGUUGUUNNNNNNNNNNNNNNNNNNNNNNNNNNNNNNNNNNNNNNNNNNNNNNNNNNNNNNNNNNNNNNNNNNNNNNNNNNNNNNNNNNNNNNNNNNNNNNNNNNNNNNNNNNNNNNNNNNNNNNNNNNNNNNNNNNNNNNNNNNNNNNNNNNNNNNNNNNNNNNNNNNNNNNNNNNNNNNNNNNNNNNNNNNNNNNNNNNNNNNNNNNNNNNNNNNNNNNNNNNNNNNNNNNNNNNNNNNNNNNNNNNNNNNNNNNNNNNNNNNNNNNNNNNNNNNNNNNNNNNNNNNNNNNNNNNNNNNNNNNNNNNNNNNNNNNNNNNNNNNNNNNNNNNNNNNNNNNNNNNNNNNNNNNNNNNNNNNNNNNNNNNNNNNNNNNNNNNNNNNNNNNNNNNNNNNNNNNNNNNNNNNNNNNNNNNNNNNAACAAAAAACACUCAUGAACGCGGUUUGUAUCUCUCACACACACUCAUGUAGGUGGGGGACGUGCACGAAGAGAAGAGGUGCAUGCAUGGCGCCCGUACUCCCGUCUCUUUCCCAACCACACCCGCGCGGGUACAUGGUAGAGCUCAUUUCUGUACGAAAAGGCAGCCCACGUGGUAAUUUGGCACAUGUACUGGUUGUCCACUUGGUGGAGGGAGGAUUGUCUACCACGGGUGAACAAACAAAUUGCGACUUGAUGUGUUAUGUUAAAAAAAGAGGCAAACCAUGUGGGGCCUACCUUAGAGGCAAGGCUCUAUACACUGGAGUACUUUUGAUGUGUCAUGUCAACUCGCAGAACGAGGAGAAGCUUGCUUAGUACGCCGUCUUCCCCGCCCACGGGCGUGGUGGCUUGCAAGAUGAGGUGAAGCUUGCUUAGUAUUGUACACCUUACGCCCGCUCCCUCGCCCACGCGCGCGGUGACUCGCAGGACAAGGAGAAAAAUUUUACUCCCUCCGUCUAGGUGAGUAAGUAAUCUUUAGGUUGUGCACCGUGACCAAGGAGGAGGGGAAAACAAGAGACCUUAAUGUUUAUUUGCUAAUUAAUAGCAUUGCAUGCAAUGAACUAACCACUGCAUGUUGUUUUUGGUAGUCUCAAGUCAUUAAAAGCAUGCACACCCCUCAUCUCUUAUUUGUUGAUAUGUGAAGAAACAAGAAACGAGGUAGAAGUUAAUACACCACGGCUAAGUGUUUUAGCAUUAUUUGGUUUUUGUAAGAUGACUUACACACCUAGACGGAGGGAGUACUACUCCCUCCAUUUACUCCUCGUCCCUACUAGUACUACCUUGGUUAUAGAGAUUAUAUCAUAUUGUUUGAUAUAUAUAUGUGUCCUUUAGUAGAUUUCGAUAUGAACUACUAGUACAUACUCCAAACACUGAUGUAUAUAGACAUAUUUUAGAGUGUAGAUUCACUCAUUUUGCUCCAUAUGUAGCACUCUCCCUCGCCCCUCGACCCUCGCCCACGUGGUGGAUGUGAAGCAAUUCAUUCGGUCUCAUAUAGCCAGAACGAUAUAUACUGCACUACCAUUAUUGCUCGACUUCCCAAAGAGGCGAAGAGCCAAUUGCAAGGUUAAUAUUUUGGAGAUGCCAAGCGUAAGGUUAUAGGAGAACGAGUAGUAGGUGUUGCGUCAUUUAUAAAUAAAGUUUUUUUUCUUCAGUGGCACGUACGCAAUAUGAUAGGUUCAUAUGGAGAGAAAAGGAAACCGCUCCACUAUAUACAUAGUCAGGACGGGCUAGCCUACACGGUUGCUUGCUGGGCUUGCUCUCUUCACACUCUCUCGCACAAAACGACUGUGGCCACAUCUCUAACAUCCCUGUGGAUCACGUCCACCGGGGGAAGGGGUGGAUUCUUAGUGUAGAUGCAGUCGCCGUAGCCGACGGCGAAAACCCACUGUCGGCACGUCCCGAUCAGGGGUCCCCGCCGUUCUCUCUCACAAAGCCGGUGAGGUUGCCUUCAUCCCUUGCUCCUACCGCGAUGCGGGAAGUUGCCGCCUCCCGCCGCCCUCCUCAAGGUUGAGCUACGUCUCGACAUCCCUCAGGUACAACUCCCUUUACAGCCGGCUGGCACCACUGCUCCAGCUGCCCACAUCACUCCAUGUGGAUAUUUCUCUACUUCUUUGCCCUGCACAUACCUCUACUGGCUUCUACAUACUGUAUUUGUGAUGAGUUUAUGUCCCAUCAACUAGGCCCUAUAAUCUUAUUCUAAUCACGCUUCUUCAAUUUCUUUGCCACAGGGAUGCUCAUCUCGAUUUUGGUGAAACUGCACAAAAUGAUCCGAUGGUCAAAAGGUUGCAAACUUCAUUUAUUAGGAAGCUUGAACGUUGCCAGCAAAUUGAAGCCUGAUUAGGGCUCAUGGUUCAAGGGCUAGGGACUGCAUGGAUUGUUUUUUUUCUUUAGCUGCCUCUAUUCCAAAAUAAGUGUCAACUUCAGUAGUAGUACAACUUUGUACUAAAGUUUGCAUAAAGUUGAGAAACUUAUUUUGGAAUGGAGGGAGUACAUAUUUGCUAUGAUCUGUCAAUCAUUGAGAUGCAAUAGCAUGCAUGUUAGUCUCCUUUGUAUUUGAUGAAAUGUUGCAACGGGCAACCUUGGAUGCAAGAUACAUGUAACAGAAGCUGGAAGCUUCAUAGCAUUGUACAAAUUUAUCUCGCUGAUAAAUUACAGUAUGUACUAUACUAGUACUUCCUCUGUUCCUAAAUAUAAGUCUCUGUAGAGAUUUCACCAUGAACCACAUGUGGAUGUAUAUAGAUGCAUUUUAAGUGUAGAUUCAUUCAUUUUGUUCCGUAUGUAGUUCACCUAGUGGAAUCUCUACAAAGACUUAUCUACUAGUAAUAGCUAGCCCCCACUACUAAGAAUUCUCUAUCCUCUCCUUGAGCCACAUCAUCAAAAUUAAUAUAGCCGUUAGAUGAACUAAAUCAGUCCAUAAUAGCCGUCUGAUCUAGACGUUGAGAGGCUCCGCACUAAGCCACAUGCAAGCAUGCAGAAAUACCAUGGCAUGCAUGUGAGUGGGUUUUAAAUCACAUCAACAUGUCUGCAUGCAAGCAUGCACCGGUAGCAUGCAUGUAAGUGAACUUUUAAGUCUCAUUAACAUGUCAAAAAGAAAAAAAAUCCCAUUAUGCAGUACGAGUUGGCUGAUCUUUUUUCCUUACGUGGGAUGAUCUAAAUGAUGAUGGGAGUUUUUUUAGUUUGGCUACCACAUUUGUCAUGCGGUUAUAGAGUUUUUUUUAGUUCUAUGAAAUCGAUAAUUUUACGCAGAUAUACGGCUGUUCCACAGCAAUGCGCGGGGACUCAUCUAGUAGUAUUUAGGAAUGGAGGGAGUACUAUGUAAAGAGUUAGGUGUCGCACGGUGUCCAGAAAAUAUGGUGAUAGUGUGAGGUGGGCCAUGUAAUCACUGAGCCUGCGUGUUUUCACUGCUCUUGCACUCCUCCGCUGUAAGAAUGGAGAAAAUUGUAAUCUAGUAGUACCUCCUUUCGCCGAAAGCGUGGGACAUCCAGUAGUCCUACCACCUCAGUAAUAAAGACCAAUGAGCCGUCAAAUCACAUAGACCCAGCAGUAGGUUGGACGGACGAAGCAACCAUCACUCUUGCGCCAGUGAGAGGUCGCGUCCGCUCUGCCCGGGCAUGAAUGCGGCACCGAUUCUUUGGAGCGGCGCUGGCCGUUUCGGGCGGGAAGCGCGCGCGGGCGAUGGAGGGGCUUUGGGUGGGCCAGGCUGGUUAGGAGCGGGCGUGGCAGCUGUCCGCCUGUCCCUACCGGACACGCUCAGAAACGAGAGGAUGCACCGACUCUCGUGGCUAAAAUCGUACACUACACACCAUCUCUCUGUAGCAGUAGGUCGAUCUGUCGCUCUCUCUAACACACACUUGUUGUUAAGCACACACACACACACACACACACACAUGCACCUUGGUCCCACUGCACCUUCUAACGUGACUUAUUACACCUAGACGGAGGGAGUAGUAAGUACGAGAUACGGUGGCACACUGACUUAGGUCGAAUACAAGUGCCCAAAAUUGUGUGCAAGUUAUAAUAAGGAUUCACUUAAAAUAGUACGUGAGCGAACAGAGGGAUCAAUUGGACAGUGUUCCCGAGCAGUAGCGAGAUGUCUGAGGUAAGAUACACCGCUGGUGCUUUUAAUUUUUCUUAUUAAUUUUUUUGUUUCACCCUAUGACUGGUGGGACCCAAUGUACUAUGUGGAGAGAGGUAAUGAUGCGGAGCAUCCCACGUUCAUCCCCAUGUACACUCCGACUAUUCUCCAAGCCCCAAGAGGACAUAUGACGAGACCUCAAACAUACGCCAUUGGACACAAGGUGAAUUCAAUCCUCUUCAAACCGUCACUUUCCGCAUAUGAGACAUGGCUACUACCUCAUGCAUGGACCUUGCAUACACUCAGGUACAACCAAGGUGACCAUGGAGAAUCCAAGGACCAAGGCCAAGCAUGGAAGAGGAGAAGGAAGAAGAAGACGGAGCGGCUGCUGGAGCCAGGCCGGACAUCCGGACCGUCGUCCGGAUCAUCCGGGCCCAGCCGGAUCAUCCGGACCCUCCCCCGGAUCGUCCGGGUAACUGCGCCGAAGACACCCGAAGGCUUCUACCGAAGUCGGAUCAUCCGGGACUCUGUCUGGAUCAUCCGGACCCCAACGCCCGGAUCAUCCGGAACCCCAUCCGGAUCAUCCGGCCUUGCCUGCGCGCAUGACUUGGGCCGAGGCCCGUGUACCCCCUUCGCCCCUCACUUACCCCUUCGUGGCAUAGCACUAUAAAUAGACCUCCUCCUCCCCACUUUGAGACUUAGCAUUGGAUUAGCUCAUAUUUGUGUGAGAGCCUUUGCUCAUCCACUUGGAUACUUCUCCUCGGAGAUCACGGCCUCUUCGGAGAAGAUCCCCCCCACGGAUUCAAGACCCCUUCUAGGGAAGAACAUCAAGGCCUCCUCUCGGAGAAGAACGGUUCCUUUGUAUCCUUACCUUUGUUGACUUUGGAUCUCGUGAAUCUCUUAUGUGUGUGGUGAUCUAGCACUUGUGUGAUUGAUUCCUUGUCGGUUGAGUGAUUCUCUCUCAUUUUCCCCGUGUUUUCCCUUUGUGCUUCCGCGUGUUCUUCGUGAUUCCCCGUAGGAUCCACUCCAAACGUGAAAGAUCGACGCUAUAGGGUUCCACCCUACAUCAUAUGAUAUCAUGAGCCACGUUGAUCCCGUUUUUGGAGCCCCUACCCUUCGUUUUCUAGCUUGAUUUUGUUGAUUUCGUCCUAAAUCCGAAAAUCCCCACCAAAAAUAGCCCCAAAAUUUUUUGUGAUUUGUUGGUUUUGAUGAUGUUUUGUUGAUUUUGAUCCGUGGAUUUGCUUGGUUUCAAGUGGAUCUAGCUUUCCCCCAAGUUUCCCCACCUUCCAUCCACGAAAUCCCUCAAAUUUUGCCUCGAAAAUCAUCCAUUUCCGCCCAAAAAUUCGUCCCCGAGAGGAAAUCCCGAGCAGUUUGACCUGCCCGGAUCAUCAGGACCUUCUCCCGGAUCAUCCGGACACCUCCUGGAUCAGCUGGACCCUCUCCCGGACGUCCGGAUAACCCACGAACCCAGAAAACAGAACCGGAGCUGACGAACCCGGAUCAUCCGGACCUAGCCCGGAUCAUCCGGACCUCCUCGGUUAACCCUGACACUGACUCGGCUGAAAUCUUGUUUUGGCCAUAACUAAUUCAUCCGUGUCCGAUUUUGACAUUCUUUAGCUCGUUUUGAAGCUAUUGACAUCCCCCAUCCCACAAAAAUACCACCAACACCAUUUGACACCAUCAUAUUUUCUGAAAUUUGGCAAGUUUGCCUAGGCCCUCCACCAUAUCAUCCGCAUUACCACCACCGACUUCCGCAACCUAACCCAUUUUGUUCCCCGUUGCAUAUGUGGUUGUUUGAGUUGUGAUUAGAGUCUCCUAAGGUGUUUCGGCUACUUAGGAACAAUUGCUUCUUCAUCAACCACCACCACCACUUCCGCAUAACCUUGCCCACCAUACAAUUCCACCCCAACUUAACCCAAUUUUGUUUGAGUUGUGGCUUGUGUCUCCUAACGUGUUUCGGCUACUUAGGGACGGCAACUUCAACUCCGACUCGUGUAUAGCCCAUCAUUCCACUUCCGCAUUGCCUAGUGCAACACCACCACCGCUUUCCGCUACCACCAUUUGACAUUUGUCAUUUGAGAUUUUGAGUUUGCGGUUUUUCCGUUUCCUAAGGUGUUUCGGCUACUUAGGGACGAGUCUCCAUCAUCUUGGUAUCUACAUCAAGAACGCCGCUACUCAUCAUCGCCGGACGGUAACCUCCAUAUCAUCUUGGUAUCGUGGUAUCCCUCCAUUGUAUAUUCCCCUUGCCAUUGCAUUGUUAACCCCUAGCCCAUUUUGCGUUACUUGCCUAUCGAGACUAGCCAUUUGAGUAUUGUCGGCAAUGUGACUUGUGCACAUUAGUGGUCUACACCAUCCAUUGCAUACAUACCAUAUCAUCUUGGUAUCAUAUCAUCCAUUGUGUCACAAGUUGGUUCCCGCAUAUACACAAUUGCUAUCUUGGUUUGUGCAUUGUGCAAAAGUGGCCAUAAAAAAAGAGAAAGAAAUAAAGCUUUUAAGCAAAGAAAAAGAGAGAGCAAAGAGCUUGUAAGCAAGUGCCAUAGCAUCAUACCACAUUGCAUAUAGGAUUGUCAUAUCCAAUCAUCUUGGAUCAUCUUAAGAGAAACACCGGGAAUCAUACAUACAUAGCAUACUUGGGAUAGAAGUUUAUCCAUUUUGCAUCUUAUAGGUUGUGCACAAGUGUCAUAUCCGCCUAUAGAGCAAUCGUGCUAGCGUCUCUCUUGAGUUGUGCAACACGAGCGUUUUCCGUGGAUUCCACAUUUUGUGCUCAUUCCUUGGUUGCGCGACCCCAUUUAUCUAUCUGUGUGUGUGUUAGCGUGUGCCACAUAUUGCUAUUGGUCCAUUUGUUUCACUUGCGAAUUUGUGAAUCUUUUUCAACAUUAUUGACUCUUGCUAACAUUUUGCAUUAAAUUUUUGUGCCACUAUCCUCACCGAGCUCCACUAUAAGCCUUACUUGUGUAGGUGUGAGAACCGACAAGGAUUGGUACCAAUAGUGUUAUUUCAUUGUCCGCAUUUGAGUGAACUUGAUUCAUCGUCAACAUCGGUCAAGGUACAUUGGUAUAAGUUCUUCUCUUUCUCCCACUCAUAUUUGCUCCAGUCUUGUGAUGGAUAGGCAAGGCAUUUCAUCUCCAGUCUACGACAACAACGACGGCAUGAAAAACUACAUCACCAAAAGGUCCACCUUCGGACUACAACGACAAAUGCAAGGCGCACAAUCAAGAUUGCAAGAGCGCAUUGAGAACAUCUCCAUCGACAUUUUCCACUCCGAAGCAAGGAAAAGGGACUACAUCGACAACAAGCUUGCCGCACAAAAGGAGGAGCCAGAUGCGAGGAUGGAAGAGAUUCGGGCCUUGAUCAAGUCUUCUUCCACUUCAUCAUCCUCAAGACGACGAUGGUCAAGCCACAAGUCUUCGGAGCGCGAAAAAGAUGCAAGUGCAAAUCGUCCUCGUCCACAUCUACAUGGCGACCACCAUCACGUUCGUGAGCAACAUCGUCAUGAAGGGCAAGUCACCUCCAAGCAACAUGUGCACGACGACGACGAACGACAUCUCCUAGGAGCUCAAGCACGACAACGACAUCAUCAUCAUGAAGAUGCUCCACAAGCGCAAGUGCACAAGUCCCAAUAAGCCCUACUUCACGCCAAGUCCAAGCUUCAUGAGCAAAAGAGAAGACCGCGAGAUGACCACCACCAAGACGGCGCUAUGGCUACAUCAACCACUUCGGCAUCUUCGCCAAGUGUUCUCAAGGCAUCUUCGCCUUUGGACGUACGGCAUCUUCGCCUACUUCCCACGAGUACGCCUACAUCAACUUCAUCAAGUCCAAGGCGACGACCUACGAGCAAGGAUGACACUUCCAUCUUUGGAAUCCCCCCAAGGAAGAUGGCCGAGCAUGGGAAACUCCCUUCGGUCAUGGAGAUGAGCUACGAGGUGCCAUAUCAUAUGGGCCUCCCACACCAAGACGGUGACAAGAAGGUCGAGCAAGGGCCAUCCCCUUCGACCACGGCGAUAGGAGUUGAGCAUGGAGACAUUUGCACCAACAUCUCUCCGACACCCACAUAUGUCGAGAUGCCCCAUUUGUCAUGUGAGAAGAGCCACCACCCCAUGAGAGAGAUGAGUGACUCCACCAUAUGUGACAUUGAGAGCAUUUCCUUUGAGAGGAUGAGUGUGACCACCACUAGCCCCACACAUGAGAGCAUGCCACACAUCCUAUGUAAGGUUGAGCGCCAUUUGAGUGACUCCACCAACCAUAUGAGUGAGAGCAUCCUUGAGAGAGUGAGUGAGCCACAACACUUAGCGAGCGAGAUAAUUGACACGGCAUGUGAGGCCACUUUGAUUUCUAACAACUUAACCUCUACUCCUAGUGUGUUUUCUUCUUUGGUGCUAGGUCUCCUACAUGACGACAUACCUAUCAUCGACGAGUCCAUCCCUCCAAUGGAGACGACGAUGGCCAUGAUGGAUGAUGAUGCACCCCCCACAUGGUUCCAUAAAGAUGAAGAUGACAACGAUAUGAUCUUCAACACCUCACCUACAACACAUGAGCGACCUUCCAAUGGUAACAUAGGUGAUGGUGCUUCUCUUGUCCCACUAGUGGACUCUCUUGACGAUGAUUGCUCCCAUGAUGUUGACCCACCUAUUCCCAUGCUUCAUGCUAGUGAGACUUCUUCAUGCCUUGACUUACCUAUUUAUGAUGAAUAUGAUGAUGAGCAUGUUGAGUUGCCUAGUUGUGAUGCUAUGCUUCAUAGGAUAUCAUGUGAAAGUUCUAUUGGUCACUUCAUGUUUGACAAUCCAUUGAACUUGUCAUAUGCUAUGAGUGAGAUCUCCCAUAUUGCAUCCCUACAAUCUCAACAUAGUAACUAUGCAUGCCCCAUUAAAAUCAAUCCCAUUUGCACUUAUGUCAUAGAUGACGAAAUGAUGGUCAUUGGCUUUUGCUUCUCUUGUGAUGAUAUUGCCAUGCUUCCUUUACAUGAUUUACGCAAUUCAUCUAAUAUGUCAUGCCAUGAUCACAUUGUUCCAAAUAUGCAUUGUUUUGGAUGUUGUCAAUAUUCUCCAUGUGAUGUUGCUACUCAUGCUCAUGAGGAGACCCCCAUAGUUUCCUCAUACAUAUUAGGAGAUCUUGAUGCAUUUCAUACUUUGCAUGAUUCCCAUGAUAGUGUACACCAUAUGCAUUCCAUGAAUAACAAUGCUCUAAAAAUACCUCAUGAUGCAUUACAUCCUUUGAGUCUCCAUUAUGACACACAUCAUAACAAACCUCUCAUGAUGGAUGACAUGUUUCUAUAUCACGCAUCUCAUUAUUUGAGCGUUGGAUAUUUUGUGCUAACAAACACACGCACGUGCGCAUCAUGAUGGAUGAUGUGUACAUCUACCACGCACACACAAUUUUCCCUUUGUCUUUGUUUUGUGUAGGUACUCACGUAUACUCGUCAACCUCUCAAUCCCAAGAGUUGACAAAACGAGCUCUUGAGAGCAACGAUGCUUUGGGAUCCCCUAGACUAUCCUUACCACCGUUCCCUUCGCGCAAGGACUACGCGCAUCUCUUCUACUUGGCUCUCAUGCGGCUAUGGGCCAUUUACCACUUGUCACCUUAUGCUCAUUUUACCGUGUUCACAUUGCAUGCUAUGCUUGCUCCUAUGCCUUUGUCAUGCAAUUGUGACCCUUGCUUGCAUCUACCCAUGAUUCAUCAUUAUGCUACUUCUAUGUGUAUUUGCAUGCUUGGUGGAGAUCCUUGUUGCUAUUGCCAUGUUUAUCAUGUGCCCCAUACUAUUGAUGCUUGUUGUGUUGGGAGAGUCAUGAUGCCACAUUGCUAUUUACAUAUGGUCUCUCGCCAAUACAUUCAUGCUAUUUUACUCACAUCUUGCUUUCAUGCUUGUGAUAUUUCAUGUGAAUUAUCCAUGCCCACUAUUUGCACACAUGACAUGCUUGCCAUGAUUCCUCCUAGUAUGUUGCAUCUUCGCACUACUAGCUUGCUUAACUUGAUUGCUAUGAUUGCUUGCUAUGUUGCAUCACCCAUGUUCCACUAUUACUUGCUUUCUUGGGUUGAUGACAUAUAUGCUCAUGCCUCUCACAUGAUAUAUCUUGAUCAUUGUCUCUUGUGUCUAUUAGUUGCCUCUUUCAUAUCCACUUGUAUUGAGUGCAACCAUACUAUGCUUAUUGAUCUUGGAGACUUUGACACAUUACUUGUGAUGCAUACGUCUUUCCUUGAGCCUCUUGUAUUUGAUUGUUCUUGCAUCAUAUGCCUCCACACUAUGAAAUGCUCCCUUGUACCUUCUUAUGAUGAGCAUGAUGCAUACACUUGUUGGGUAUCUUACCACUUGAAUGAUAGGUUUUGCAUUUCCGCUAACCUCAUUUGUUUUUCCGAGUGUUUGUCAUGUUAUUUCAUUUUGAAGGAUUCACAAGUCAUUACCGUCAUGAGACAUAUUGGUUAUGUGAAGGCAUACAUGAUGUACGACUCCAACAUCUUUGGGAACUAUCUUGAGGUGACCUCCUUCCCUUUGAGCCAUCCUCAAAUACGCAUAUUGGAUGGGUCACUCUUUCAUUGUUGUUUCCUUCUUGUUGUCUACAUGACACAUCUCGUGAACGGAGGAGCGACAUUGGAGAUUGGUUACAUGGACCUUCACAUUGAAGAGAGCUCGCACUUAUUGGAUGCACCUUCAAAAUUCCACUCAUGCCACGACAUCGAGCAUUGGUACAUCAACACUCCUUUGACACCUUGCACUCCCACAUCCAUAUUUGUUGAUUGUGCUCAUAUAUAUCAUGCUCGAUGGACAUAUCAUACUCACCGCAAGUUUGCACCCUAUGCAUGGAUUGACUCACAUUAUGAUUGCCUUGUUGCAUCUUGUAUUACCAUGUCAUCCAUGAUAUAUGAGCUUGUUCACUUCCUUAGCAAAUUUGUUGUGAUCUUCCUUGAUGGCAUAUUCAUACAUAAUGAUCAUAUUUUCCAUCAUCAAUUGCAUGAUAACAUAUACAUAUUGAGCAUCCAUUGCCAUAUUCAUGCUAUUGAUAAACUAUCUCACUAUGACAUCAUUUUGCACCGUGGUUUCAUUGAUCAUAUUUACAACACAUUUGUGUGCACAAUGAUUGCAUUUCCUCCCAUGAAUGCUUUGCAUCUCAUUCUAGAUCAUCUUGGUAAGCUUCAUGCGCUUUGUCACAACCAAUCUUGCCGCACGGACUCAUUCUUACAUGAUGGACACUUUGUGUGCGCUAACCAUUGUAUUUCCGAGUGUUGCUUGUGUUUGCUCUUUUUGCAUGUCUAUCACUCCGGCGACACCUUGGACUACGCGGAUUGCACCAUGUCUUCAACUUCGUCCAACUACAAGUCCGUCUACGACAACUGUUUCCAUGGUGAUGAGGAUCACGAUCCGAGGUCGGAUCUUUCCCAAGGGGGGAUAUGACGCGGAGCAUCCCACGUUCAUCCCCAUGUACACUCCGACUACUCUUCAAGCCCCAAGAGGACAUAUGACAAGACCUCGAACAUACGCCAUUGGACACAAGGUGAAUUCAAUCCUCUUCGAACCGUCACUUUCCGCAUAUGAGACAUGGCUACUACCUCAUGCAUGGACCUUGCAUACACUCAGGUACAACCAAGGUGACCAUGGAGAAUCCAAGGACCAAGGCCAAGCAUGGAAGAGGAUAAGGAAGAAGAAGACGGAGCGGCUGCUGGAGCCAGGCCGGACAUCCGGGCCGUCGUCCGAAUCAUCCGGGCCCAGCCGGAUCAUCCGGACCCUCCCCCGGAUCGUCCGGGUAACUGCGCCGAAGACACCCGAAGGCUUCUACCGAAGCCGGAUCAUCCGGGACUCUGUCCGGAUCAUCCGGACCCCAACGCCCGGAUCAUCCGGAACCCCGUCUGGAUCAUCCGGCCUUGCCUGCGCGCAUGACUUGGGCCGAGGCCCGUGUACCCCCUUCGCCCCUCACUUACCCCUUCGUGGCUUAGCACUAUAAAUAGACCUCCUCCUCCCCACUUUGAGACUUAGCAUUGGAUUAGCUCAUAUUUGUGUGAGAGCCUUUGCUCAUCCACUUGGAUACUUCUCCUCGGAGAUCACGGCCUCUUCGGAGAAGAUCCCCCCCACGGAUUCAAGACCCCUUCUAGGGAAGAACAUCAAGGCCUCCUCUCGGAGAAGAACGGUUCCUUUGUAUCCUUACCUUUGUUGACUUUGGAUCUCAUGAAUCUCUUAUGUGUGUGGUGAUCUAGCACUUGUGUGAUUGAUUCCUUGUCGGUUGAGUGAUUCUCUCUCAUUUUCCCCGUGUUUUCCCUUUGUGCUUCCGCGUGUUCUUCGUGAUUCCCCGUAGGAUCCACUCCAAACGUGAAAGAUCGACGCUAUAGGGUUCCACCCUACAUCAGGUAAGGUGACUAAGGCUGCAUUAUUUCUGCACCACUGUGGAUAGUGUUACCACCAAAGCCACAUGACACGAUUAUGAUUUAAAUCCCAAUGACUCCCACACACACAAAAAACACGGCAUGCUUGUCACACGAAUGCAAGAAUGUAUAGAAGGUUAUUUUCCUCUCAUUAAACAUAACAGGAGGGUUGUGUAGCUGGUUCCUGUUCGCUCAUCAAACUUGAGGUCUCGGGUUCGAUAACUACACCUGAGCAUAAUUCGUGCCAGGAGGAUUCUUUGACUGGUCAAAAUGGAUGGAUACGGAGCUAUACGAUCUCGUAGUGACCAUAUAAUCACCUCAUCACGUAUAAGCUGCAGCCUCGGCGCUUGUUUUCUAGGGUUUGCACGCUUCACACUCUCUCUCCAGUAUAUAUACACGCUGGAGCCUCAGCGCUUGUAGUUGCUCUCUUCACACUCUCUCACCCUCUCCAGAUCUAAACAAGACUUCGUUGGCCUCUCUCUCCUGUCACUGCUGGUCAAAGAGCCGGUAGGAUCUGUCCGCGGGGAAGGGAAGGAGGCUUAACAUUGUCGCCGUCGGCGAGGGAGGGAAUCCACUACCAGCGCAGCUGUUCACUUUCACCCAGCGGUGGCGCGGGAGGGCCUCCGACCCCUUCUUCUUCGCUGUCGUCCCGUCGCCCACCGAACCACACCCCAAGAACCUUAAGGCAUAAUUUACUUAUUCCACAUGCAUUGCUCUAGCUGCAUGUAUACCAUGAAUCUAGGACGUGGUUCAAAGAGGAAAGGAGUGGGGGAAAGUAGUGGGAAAUGUUGUAUAGCAUGAAUCUAGGACAUGGUUCAAAGAGGAAAAGAAGGGGGAAAGUAGUGGGGAUAGUUGUAUAGCAUGAAUCUAGGACGUGGUUUAAAGACGAAAGGAAUGGGGGAAAGUAGUGGGGAAAGUUGUAUCGCAUAAAUCUAGGACGGGGUUCAAAGAGGAAAGGAAGGGGCGAAAAUACUAGUACAGACUAGCUAUCCAGCACCUACGUUGGUCGAAAAGGGAAAACAAAGAAAACGUGGUACGCACAUCUGUAACGAACUGAUCUUUUGUUUUGGGGGACAAGGCUGUAGAGUUGGAGCAGGACUAGAUUUGUUGUGCUCACAUAGGGAAAAGUGUCUAAAGAUAACAAAACUGGGACCAACACAAAUAUGCUCCUUGGUUCUUUGUUCUUUGUUGCAACAGACUGUGCAUGACCACAGUACAUCGGUAGAUGCACAUGGUGCUGGUGCGUCCACUGUCCCGUGCAACUCUUUAGCAGUUGUUAAUCUAAGGCCCUAUUUGGUUAAAAACUCCUAGUCCCUACCUUCUUGGUUCCAGGGACUAAACAUGGACUAGAGGUUAUUAAAUGACAUGCUAAAAGACCAUGUUACCCCUAGUAAUGAACUAAUAGAGAUAAGGUGCAAUGCAUGGCAGGGGCAAUGUUGGAAAAAGACCCAAAAAGUCUCCCUCGGGGUCUUCUUUAUUUAGUCCCAAAUGCCCACUUUUUGUCCCUAAAAGUCCCUCCUGUUUGGUUUAGAUGGGACUGACACGGAGUUUUUUUAGUCCCUACACCAAAAUGUCCCUGUAAACAAACACCCUCUAAUAAUGCCGCUGAAAAAUUGAUGCAAUGCCACAGUUAAAAGCAAAUCACAUGUUUAAUGUAUUUUAUUGUUAAUAUAAUAUCUAUGUUAAUAUUAAUCAAUGCCACCAUUUGAGAAAUUCUACUGUCUUGCUUUCUUUCCCAUUUAGAUAAGGUAGAUGCUUCUUUUUGUUGGCUUCUGUGUCAUCCACCAUUAUUGACCACUAGUUGUUUCCUUUGCACCUCUGUGUAAACAGGGUUAUCUAUGUCACCUCGUUGCCAUUGUGACCUUUUGUUGCACUGCACAAAACACUUUUGUUUUAAGAGUGUUUUGUGCAGUUCAACCAAAAUGUCACACCGACAACGUUGCUUGAUUGCUUGAUCUUAGUGGAACUGCACAAGAGGAGAUCUUACUUCCUAUCCAUGUUGGCAAAUUUGGUUCAGAUCUUCUUCUUGUGAGUUGUUUGAAUUCCGCAUCAUGAGAGGUCAGUACUAGCCUUGUUUCACAUGAUUCUGCAGUGUGCUUUCAUAUGUUGUGCUACUUGUACGGUAAUGUUGCUUGAUUUUAGUGAACUGCACAAAUGGAGACAAGACUUCCAAUCUGUAUGUGCACCGUAAUAUCCCACUGAGGUAAGAUAAGGAUAUUUCACAACUGUUGGCAUGUAUUUUGCCACAUUCAUCAGAAAAUUAAUGUCAUUGUUUAGUGUUGUACUUGUGCUCCCUAAUUGACAUGCCAAAUCUUACAUUGAAGGCAAAGCUUGUCUAUUAUUGAACCAAGUGAUGAAGGGGAAGAACAAGUGGAAGAAAAACAAAAAUCAACUCCUGGUGCUCUAAUGAAGCACUGGAACUGUGAUGACACAAGUAAUGAUAUAAUUUUGCAUCUUAAUUUAUUGCUAUGGCUGGAAUGAGCAAUUGUUUUGCCACUGAUUUGAAGCCACUCUUAAUGUAAUAUGUAAUUAUCUCUACUUGUGCAAACAGGGAUCUUCUUUGAAGAUACCAUAUAUUUUAGUGGAACUGCACAAUAAGAUGUUGGAAACAUUAAACUAAUCGAGGAGUAUAUAGUAAGCAUGGCCACCAUAGUAGAUAGCAACAGAUGGUUCCGGAGAAGUGCUUCAUCUGUAUGCUCUACACAAUAAGCCUCCUGACAAAGGUUGGCACUCGCCCACUGAUUUCAUCCAUAUGAUUGAGCCUUGUCAUCUCUGUUGGUGUUGUGCUAUUGUUUAGAUACUGUCAUGGAAAAGUGGUAUUGUCCUUGAGAAGUGCUUCAUCUGUGUUGUUUUAAAUAUUUCCUUUCCUUUUUUUCGAGCAAACAGGGAUGGUAGCAUUUAGUUGUCCUCUUGUCUUUGCACAACAGGAUAAUCUUCCUCUGAAGAAGAAUAUGGAGUACAUGAAGUGACUAGUUCCGAUUAUGCCAAGAUGAAGAAGCCAUGUCUAUCUUCUCAUCAGAAGGAGCAGUUGAAGGAUGGUUACAUUACUCCCCACAAGACCAAACUAACUUCAUCUCAGAAGGACUGACAAAUCUCCAUUUUUUUUGUUGUGAUGCACGAGUACAAUGUUGUUCUAGGAUUCUUUCUAGCGAGUUCUACAUGGACCAUGUAGGUGCCUGUUUAAACUGUCAAUUCAUAGUACAAUUUGCUUUAUACUAAUCACUUUUUUUGUAUUUGUGCAAAUAGGGGUGCUCAUCUUGAUUUCAAUGGGAACUGCACAAAAUGUUCAUGAAUACAUUGAAUCAUUCAUUUCCACCACAAGAAAGGAGUUGCCGAUAAGUUCAAGGCGUUGCAACAUAUAAGGGUGAAAUCAUACAAGCUACGCGCGCCCAAGGUGGAACUGCACAAAAAGAAUAGCUGGUUUAUUUAGCACUAGGUGCCAUGUCAAUGUCCGAACUGACGGCAAACUCUGCCCAUUCCACAAUCGUAGGCAUUUGAUAUUUUGGAAUGGGACAACCUUGUCAAAUUUUUCUCAUUGAUUUUAGCAAGAAGACAUGCGUUUGAUAUUUUCGAAUGGGACGCCCUUUGUUGUCAGCAGCGUCGAUCAAUUUUUUCUUUAUUCUUUAGUUGUGAAGUAAAUAUUGCCUCUAACAUGUGAGUCACUGAGAUGCAUAAUCAUCGAUUGUUUUGAAUGUUCUCUAUGAAUUGCCAGUCCUGUGUGUUUGAUUGCAAUGUACAGAAACGCUAAAAAGCUGCUCAAACUCUUUGUACUCCUUCUGUUCCUUUUUACUUCGCACAUUGUGAAAGUGCAUACUUUUUUCUAUAAGAUUGGUCAAAGUAGAGAUACUUUGACUGCAGACAAAACUUGUACGCAGACUAGAAAGGACCGGAGGGAGUACAUGUGAAACUACUGCAAACGAGGUGAUCACCCUGGGUAUAAUGCUACUACGUAUUGUUUUGCAUGUUCAUCCAAUGCCAGUGAUACAGGAAUUCGAACUAAUCGAAAUAAAUUCAUGAAGGAAAUAUGCCAUAGAGGCAAUAAUAAAGUUAUUAUUUAUUUCCUCAUAUCAUGAUAAAUGUUUAUUAUUCAUACUAGAAUUGUAUUAACCGGAAACAUAAUACAUGUGUGAAUACAUAGACAAACAUAUAGUCACUAGUAUGCCUCUACUUGACUAGCUCAUUAAUCGAAGAUGGUUAUGUUUCCUAACCAUUGACAUGUGUUGUCAUUUGAUUAGUGGGAUCACAUCAUUAGAAGAAUGAAGUGAUUGACAUGACCCAUUCCGUUAGCCUAGCACUUGAUCGUUUAGUAUACUGCUAUUGCUUUCUUCAUGACUUAUGCAUGUUCCUGUAACUAUGAGAAUUAUGCAACUCCCGUUUACCGGAGGAACACUUUGGGUACUACCAAACGUCACAACGUAACUGGGUGAUUACAAAGGAGUACUAUAGGUGUCUCCGAAAGUACAUGUUGAGUUGGCGUAUUUCGAGAUUAGGUUUUGUCACUCCGAUUGUCGGAGAGGUAUCUCUGGGCCCUCUCGGUAAUGCACAUCACUAUAAGCCUUGCAAGCAAUGUGACCAAUGAGUUGGUUACGGGAUGAUGCAUUACAUAACGAGUAAAGAGACUUGCAGGUAAUGAGAUUGAACUAGGUAUUGGAUACCGACAAUCGAAUCUCGGACAAGUAACAUACCGAUGACAAAGGGAACAACGUAUGUUGUUAUGCGGUUUGACCGGUAAAGAUCUUCGUAGAAUAUGUAGGAACCAAUAUGGGCAUCCAGGUCCCGCUAUUGGUUAUUGACCGAGAAUAGUUUUAGGUCAUGUCUACAUAGUUCUCGAACCCGUAGGGUCCGCACGCUUAACGUUACAAUGACAGUUUUAUUAUGAGUUUAUAAGUUUUGAUGUACCGAAGUUUGUUCGGAGUCCCGGAUGUGAUCACGGACAUGACGAGGAGUCUCGAAAUGGUCGAGACAUAAAGAUCGAUAUAUUGGAAGCCUAUAUUUGGACAUCGGAACCGUUCCGGGUGAAAUCGGCAUUUUACCGGAGUACCGGGAGGUUACCGGAACCCCCCGGGGGGUUAUUGGGCCUACAUGGGACUCGAGGGAGAAGAGGGAAGGAACCAGGAGGGGGCCGCGCACCCCUCCCCUUCCUAGUCCAAAUAGGACAAGGGAAGGGGGCGGCGCCCCCACUUUCCUUCCCCUCUUCCUCCUCUUUCCCCCCUUCUCCUACUCCUACUUGGAAAGAAGGGAGUCCUACUCCUGGUGGGAGUAGGACUCCCCCCUUGGCGCGCCCUCCUUGGCCGGCCGCCUCCUCCCCCCUGGCUCCUUUAUAUACGGGGAUGGGGGCCACCCCAUAGACACACAAGUUGAUCUACGGAUCGUUCCUUAGCCGUGUGUGGUGCCCCCUUCCACCAUAUUCCACCUCGGUCAUAUCGUCGCGGAGUUUAGGCGAAGCCCUGCGCCGGUAGAGCAUCAUCAUUGUCACCACGCUGUCGUGCUGACGGAACUCAUCUCCGAAGCUUUGCUAGAACGGAGCACGGAGAUCGUCAUCGAGCUGAACGUGUGCUGAACUCGGAGGCCCCGUACGUUCGGUGCUUGGAUCGGUCGGAUCGUGAAGACAUACGACUACAUCAACCGCGUUGUGCUAACGCUUCCGCUUACGGUCUACGAGGGUACGUGGACGAACACUCUCCCCUCUCGUUGCUAUGCCAUCACCAUGAUCUUGCGUGUGCGUAGGAAAAAUUUUGAAAUUACUACGUUCCCCAACAGUGGCAUCCGAGCCUAGGUUUUAUGCGUUGAUGUUAUAUGCACGAGUAGAACACAAGUGAGUUGUGGGCGAUACAAGUCAUACUGCUUACCAGCAUGUCAUACUUUGGUUCGGUGGUAUUGUGAGAUGAAGCGGCCCGGACCGACAUUACGCGUACGCUUACGCGAGACUGGUUUCACCGUUACGAGCACUCGUGCUUAAAGGUGGCUAGCGGGUGUCUGUCUCUCUCACUUUGGCUGAAUCAAGUGUGGCUACGCCCGGUCCUUGCGAAGGUUAAAACAGCACCAACUUGACGAACUAUCGUUGUGGUUUUUGAUGCGUAGGUAAGAACGGUUCUUGCUAAAGCCCGUAGCAGCCACGUAAAAUUUGCAACAACAAAGUAGAGGACGUCUAACUUGUUUUUGCAGGGCAUGUUGUGAUGUGAUAUGGUCAAGACGUGAUGCUAUAUUUUAUUGUAUGAGAUGAUCAUGUUUUGUGACCGAAGUUAUCGGCAACUGGCAGGAGCCAUAUGGUUGUCGCUUUAUUGUAUGAAAUGCAAACGCCCUGUAAUUGCUUUACUUUAUCACUAAGCGGUAGCGAUAGUCGUAGAAGCAAUAGAUGGCGUAACGACAACGAUGCUACGAUGGAGAUCAAGAUGUCGCGCCGGUGACGAUGGUGAUCACGACGGUGCUUCGGAGAUGGAGAUCACAAGCACAAGAAGAUGAUGGCCAUAUCAUAUCACUUAUAUUGAUUGCAUGUGAUGUUUAUCCUUUAUGCAUCUUAUCUUGCUUUGAUUGACGGUAGCAUUUUAAGAUGAUCUCUCACUUAAUAAUCAAGAAGUGUUCUCCCUGAGUAUGCACCGUUGCGAAAGUUCUUCGUGCUGAGACACCACGUGAUGAUCAGGUGUGAUAGGCUCUACGUUCAAAUACAACGGGUGCAAAACAGUUGCACACGCGGAAUACUCAGGUCAUACUUGACGAGCCUAGCAUAUACAGAUAUGGCCUCGGAACACGGAGACCGAAAGGUCGAGCGUGAAUCAUAUAGUAGAUAUGAUCAACAUAGUGAUGUUCACCAUCGAAACUACUCCAUCUCACGUGAUGAUCGGACAUGGUUUAGUUGAUUUGGAUCACGUGAUCACUUAGAUGACUAGAGAGAUGUCUGUCUAAGUGGGAGUUCUUAAGUAAUAUGAUUAAUUGAACUUAAAUUUAUCAUGAACUUAGUACCUGAUAGUAUUUUGCUUGUCUAUGUUUGUUUGUAGAUAGAUGGCUCGUGUUGUUGUUCCGUUGAAUUUUAAUGCGUUCUUUGAGAAAGCAAAGUUGAAAGAUGAUGGUAGAAAUUACACGGACUGGGUCCGUAACCUGAGGGUUAUCCUCAUUGCUGCACAGAAAAGUUACGUCCUGGAAGCACCGCUGGGUGCCAGGCCUGCUGCUGUUGCAACUGACGACGUUAAGAACGUCUGGCAGAGCAAAGCUGAUAACUACUCAAUAGUUCAGUGUACCAUGCUUUAUGGCUUAGAACCGGGUCUUCAACGACGUUUUGAACGUCAUGGAGCAUAUGAGAUGUUCCAGGAGUUGAAGUUAAUAUUUCAAGCAAAUGCCCGGAUUGAGAGAUAUGAAGUCUCCAAUAAGUUCUACAGCUGCAAGAUGGAGGAGAAUAGUUCUGUCAGUGAACACAUACUCAAAAUGUCUGGGUAUAAUAAUCACUUGAUUCAACUGGGAGUUAAUCUUCCUGAUGAUAGUGUCAUUGACAGAAUUCUCCAAUCACUGCCACCAAGCUACAAGAGCUUCCCGAUGAACUAUAAUAUGCAAGGGAUGAACAAGACUAUUCUCGAGCUCUUCGCAAUGCUAAAAGCUGCGGAGGUAGAAAUCAAGAAGGAGCAUCAAGUGUUGAUGGUUAACAAGACCACUAGUUUCAAGAAAAAGGGCCAAGGGAAGAAGAAGGGGAACUUCAAAAAGAACGGCAAGCAAGUUGCUGCUCAAGAGAAGAAACCCAAGUCUGGACCGAAGCCUGAAACUGAGUGCUUCUACUGCAAGCAGACUGGACACUGGAAGCGGAACUGCCCCAAGUAUUUGGCGGAUAAGAAGGAUGGCAAAGUGAACAAAGGUAUAUAUGAUAUACAUGUUAUUGAUGUGUACCUUACUAAUGCUCGCAGUAGCACCUAGGUAUUUGAUACUGGUUCUGUUGCUAAUAUUUGCAACUCGAAACAGGGACUACGGAUUAAGUGCAGAUUGGCUAAGGACGAGGUGACGAUGCGCGUGGGAAAUGGUUCCAAAGUCGAUGUGAUCGUUGUCGGCACGCUACCUCUACAUCUACCAUCGGGAUUAGUUUUAGACCUAAAUAAUUGUUAUUUGGUGCCAGCGUUGAGCAUGAACAUUAUAUCUGGAUCUUGUUUGAUGCGAGACGGUUAUUCAUUUAAAUCGGAGAAUAAUGGUUGUUCUAUUUAUAUGAGUAAUAUCUUUUAUGCUCAUGCACCCUUGAAGAGUGGUCUAUUCUUAUUGAAUCUCGAUAGUAGUGAUACACAUGUUCAUAGUGUGGAAACCAAAAGAUGCAGAGUUGAUAACGAUAGUGCAACUUAUUUGUGGCACUGCCAUUUGGGUCAUAUCGGUGUAAAGCGCAUGAAGAAACUCCAUACUGAUGGGCUUUUGGAAUCACUUGAUUAUGAAUCACUUGGUACUUGCGAACCGUGCCUCAUGGGCAAGAUGACUAAAAUGACGUUCUCUGGAACUAUGGAGCAGGCAACUGAUUUGUUGGAAAUCAUACAUACUGAUGUUUGUGGUCCAAUGAAUGUUGAGGCUCGCGGCGGGUAUCGUUAUUUUCUCACCUUCACAGAUGAUUUGAGCAGAUAUGGGUAUAUCUACUUAAUGAAACAUAAGUCUGAAACAUUUGAAAAGUUCAAAGAAUUUCAGAGUGAAGUGGAAAAUCAUCAUAACAAGAAAAUAAAGUUUCUACGAUCUGAUCGUGGAGGAGAAUAUUUGAGUUACGAGUUUGGUCUGCACUUGAAACAAUGCGGAAUAGUUUCACAACUCACGCCACCCGGAACACCACGACGAAAUGGUGUGUCCGAACGUCGUAAUCGUACUUUACUAGAUAUGGUGCGAUCUAUGAUGUCUCUUACUGAUUUACCGCUAUCGUUUUGGGGUUAUGCUUUAGAGAUGGCCGCAUUCACGUUAAAUAGGGCACCAUCAAAAUCCGUUAAGACAACGCCUUAUGAACUGUGGUUUGGCAAGAAACCAAACUUGUCGUUUCUUAAAGUUUGGGGCUGCGAUGCUUAUGUGAAGAAACUUCAACCAGAUAAGCUCGAACCCAAAUCGGAGAAAUGUAUCUUCAUAGGAUACCCAAAAGAGACUAUUGGGUACACCUUCUAUCACAGAUUUGAGGGCAAGAUUUUCGUUGCUAAAAUCGGAUCCUUUCUAGAGAAGGAGUUUCUCUCGAAAGAAGUGAGUGGGAGGAAAGUAGAACUUGAUGAGAUAACUGUAUCUACUCCCUUAUUGGAAAGUAGUUCAUCACAAGAACCGGUUCCUGUGACAACUACACCAAUUAGUGAGGAAGCUAAUGAUAUUGAUCAUGAAACUUCAGAUCAAGUUUCUACUGAACCUCGUAGGUCUACCAGAGUAAGAUCCGCACCAGAGUGGUACGGUAAUCCUAUUCUGGAAGUCAUGUUACUUGACCAUGAUGAACCUACAAACUAUGAGGAAGCGAUGAUGAGCCCAGAUUCCGCAAAAUGGCUAGAGGCCAUGAAAUCUGAGAUGGGAUCCAUGUAUGAAAACAAAGUAUGGACUUUGGUUGACUUGCCCAAUGAUCGGCAAGCCAUUGAAAAUAAAUGGAUCUUUAAGAAGAAGAUUGACGCUGAUGGUAAUGUAACUGUCUAUAACGCUCGACUUGUUGUGAAAGGUUUUCGACAAGUUCAAGGAGUUGACUACGAUGAGACUUUCUCACCCGUAGCGAUGCUUAAGUCUGUCCGAAUCAUGUUAGCUAUUGCUGCAUUUCAUGAUUAUGAAAUUUGGCAAAUGGAUGUCAAAACUGCAUUCUUGAAUGGAUUUCUGGAAGAAGAGUUCUAUAUGAUGCAGCCAGAAGGUUUUGUUGAUCCAAAAGGUGCUAACAAAGUGUGCAAGCUCCAACAUUCUAUUUAUGGACUGGUGCAAGCAUCUCGGAGUUGGAAUAAACGCUUUGAUAGUGUGAUCAAAGCAUAUGGUUUUAUACAGACUUUUGGAGAAGCCUGUAUUUACAAGAAAGUGAGUGGGAGCUCUGUAGCAUUUCUGAUAUUAUAUGUAGAUGACAUAUUAUUAAUUGGAAAUGAUAUAGAAUUUCUGGAUAGCAUAAAGGGAUACUUGAAUAAAAGUUUUUCAAUGAAAGACCUCGGUGAAGCUGCUUACAUAUUGGGAAUCAAGAUCUAUAAAGAUAGAUCAAGACGCUUAAUAGGACUUUCACAAAGCACAUACCUUGACAAAAUUUUGAAAAAGUUCAAAAUGGAUCAGGCAAAGAAAGGAUUCUUGCCUGUACUACAAGGUGUGAAGUUGAGUCAAACUCAAUGCCCGACCACAGCAGAAGAUAGAGAGAAAAUGAAAGAUGUUCCCUAUGCUUCAGCCAUAGGCUCUAUCAUGUAUGCAAUGUUGUGUACCAGACCUGACGUAUGCUUAGCAAUAAGCUUGGCAGGAAGGUACCAAAGUAAUCCAGGAGUGGAUCACUGGACAGCGGUCAAGAACAUCCUGAAAUACCUGAAAAGGACUAAGGAUAUGUUUCUCGUAUAUGGAGGUGACAAAGAGCUAGUCAUAAAUGGUUACGUCGAUGCAAGCUUUGACACUGAUCCGGACGAUUCUAAAUUGCAAACCGGAUACGUGUUUUUAUUAAAUGGUGGAGCUGUAAGUUGGUGCAGUUCUAAACAAAGCAUCGUAGCAGGAUCUACAUGUGAAGCGGAGUACAUAGCUGCUUCUAAAGCAGCAAAUGAAGGAGUCUGGAUGAAGGAGUUCAUUUCCGAUCUAGGUGUCAUACCUAGUGCAUCGGGACCAAUGAAGAUCUUCUGUGACAAUACUGGUGCAAUUGCCUUGGCAAAGGAAUCCAGAUUUCACAAGAGGACCAAGCACAUCAAGAGACGCUUCAAUUCCAUUCGGGACCAAGUCCAAGUGGGAGACAUAGAGAUUUGCAAGAUACAUACGGAUCUGAAUGUUGCAGACCCGUUGACUAAGCCUCUCUCACGAGCAAAACAUGAUCAGCACCAAGACUCCAUGGGUGUUAGAAUCAUUACUAUGUAAUCUAGAUUAUUGACUCUAGUGCAAGUGGGAGACUGAAGGAAAUAUGCCCUAGAGGCAAUAAUAAAGUUAUUAUUUAUUUCCUCAUAUCAUGAUAAAUGUUUAUUAUUCAUGCUAGAAUUGUAUUAACCGGAAACAUAAUACAUGUGUGAAUACAUAGACAAACAUAUAGUCACUAGUAUGCCUCUACUUGACUAGCUCAUUAAUCAAAGAUGGUUAUGUUUCCUAACCAUUGACAUGUGUUGUCAUUUGAUUAGUGGGAUCACAUCAUUAGAAGAAUGAAGUGAUUGACAUGACCCAUUCCGUUAGCCUAGCACUUGAUCGUUUAGUAUACUGCUAUUGCUUUCUUCAUGAGUUAUACAUGUUCCUGUAACUAUGAGAAUUAUGCAACUCCCGUUUACCGAAGGAACACUUUGGGUACUACCAAACGUCACAACGUAACUGGGUGAUUAUAAAGGAGUACUACAGUUGUCUCCGAAAGUACAUGUUGAGUUGGCGUAUUUCGAUAUUAGGUUUUGUCACUCCGAUUGUCGGAGAGGUAUCUCUGGGCCCUCUCGGUAAUGCGCAUCACUAUAAGCCUUGCAAGCAAUCUGACCAAUGAGUUGGUUACAGGAUGAUGCAUUACAUAACGAGUAAAGAGACUUGCCGGUAACGAGAUUGAACUAGGUAUUUGAUACCGACGAUCGAAUCUCGGACAAGUAACAUACCGAUGACAAAGGGAACAACGUAUGUUGUUAUGCGGUUUGACCGAUAAAGAUCUUCGUAGAAUAUGUAGGAACCAAUAUGGGCAUCCAGGUCCCGCUAUUGGUUAUUGACCGAGAAUAGUUCUAGGUCAUGUCUACAUAGUUCUCGAACCCGUAGGGUCCGCACGCUUAAUGUUACGAUGACAGUUUUAUUAUGAGUUUAUAAGUUUUGAUGUACCAAAGUUUGUUCGGAGUCCCGGAUGUGAUCACGGACAUGACGAGGAGUCUUGAAAUGGUCGAGACAUAAAGAUCGAUAUAUUGGAAGCCUAUAUUUGGACAUCGGAACCGUUCUGGGUGAAAUCGGCAUUUUACUGGAGUACAGGGAGGUUACCGGAACCCCCCGGGGGGUUAUUGGGCCUACAUGGGCCUCGAGGGAGAAGAGGGAAGGAACCAGGAGGGGGCCGCGCGCCCCUCCCCUUCUUAGUCCGAAUAGGACAAGGGAAAGGGGGCGGCGCCCCCCCCCCCCCCUUUCCUUCCCCUCUUCCUCCUCUUUCACCCCUUCUCCUACUCCUACUUGGAAAGAAGGGAGUCCUACUCCCGGUGGGAGUAGGACUCCCCCCUUGGCGCGCCCUCCUUGGCCGGCCGCCUCCUCCCCCCUGGCUCCUUUAUAUACGGGGGCGGGGGGCACCCCAUAGACACACAAGUUGAUCUACGGAUCAUUCCUUAGCCGUGUGCGGUGCCCCCUUCCACCAUAUUCCACCUCGGUCAUAUCGUCGCGGAGUUUAGGAGAAGCCCUGCGCCGGUAGAGCAUCAUCGUCGUCACCACGCCGUCGUGCUAACGGAACUCAUCUCUGGAGCUUUGCUGGAUCGGAGCACGGAGAUCGUCAUCGAGCUGAACGUGUGCUGAACUCGGAGGCCCCGUACGUUCGGUGCUUGGAUCGGUCGGAUCGUGAAGACGUACGACUACAUCAACCGCGUUGUGCUAAC